rnacentral:lncRNA from 1 species
AUUGAAGUGGUUGCACUCCCCUUAUUAUACAUAUUGACAUAACUUCAAUUAUUGUCAAUCCUGAUUUGGCCAGGGUGUUUAUCCUGCUCAUCAGGUAGAGGACUUCUAUGUUGUCUUCCUCCUGGGGCUCCGAAGGUGCCAGCUUUGGCAUUUCUUUAGUGGAGUAUUGGUAAACUCAGGAAGGCCCAUCCGGACUGGGUACGGAAGGGGAACGUCAUCGACAUAAAACCACUCCGAAGGCCAGUCUUCGGAUGCCUUCUUUGGAGUACCGGACAGGUAUCCAGUCUGGGCGAUGCGCCAUAUUUCGGCUCCGCCCACUUGAUAUAUAGAUCCCUCCUGGUUGCGGGGGACGAGGCAAAAUAACCUCUUCCAUAGCUCGAAAUGAGCUUCGCAGCCCAGGAACAGCUCGCAGAGGGCGACAUAGCCCGCGAUGUGCAGUAUGGAGGCGGGAGUAAGAUUAUGCAACUGGAGGCUGUAGAACUCCAGGAGCCCGCGGAGGAAUGGGUGGAUUGGAAACCCAACGCCUCUUAGCAGAUAUGGGACAAGGCAUACCCGCUCCCCCCAAGAUGGAUUAGGGAAUCUUUCCGCUUGCUCCCCACCAUAAUAGGUGGCUAGUCAGGAUCGGACAGGGACCAUGAAUGCAGGCGGAAGGAACCCUUUGGCCUGCAGCUCUAUUAAGCGGUUGUGAGAGAUGGAACACUUUUCCCAAUCCCCUGGUUUCGAGCUAGGAGAGCAACGGGCAGGGCUGCGGUGACCGAACAUGAUGGGAUGGCUUCUUUUGGACGCGCUCUGCAGAAUGCUUGCUCGGGAGAGGGUGGUGUGAUCUGGAUCAGAGGAUCCCCGUCUCUUCAAAUAGACGGCUUGCCUACAAACUUAGGGUGGCGAAUGUAAAAAUGCCCCGGCCCCUCGUCUUCGCUCGACACGUGGAGAUGGCCAAUAUUGAAGCAUAGAAGCCGAGGAGUACAACCUUACUGGGAGGCCGGACACCGUUCACUACGGUGAGUGUGCCGGAUUUGGAGAAGAACCCGCCUUGCAAUGCCAAAGACAAUCUGCGUGUCGGACUCAUCAUCAUUGAAGCCUGGUUUGGGGGCUACUGAGGGAGUCCUGGAUAAGGGGGUAUCCGGAUAGCCGGACUAUAUGCUUCGGCCGGACUGUUGGACUAUGAAGAUACAAGAUUGAAGACUUCAUCCCGUGUCCGGAUGGGACUCUCCUUGGCGUGGAAGGCAAGCUUGGCGAUUCCGAUGAAGAUCUCCUCCUCUGUAAACCGACUCUAUGUAACCCUAGCCCCCUCCGGUGUCUAUAAAAACCACAGGGUUUAGCCCGUACGAGAUAACAACAAUCAUACCAUAGGCUAGCUUCUAGGGUUUAGCCUCUCUGAUCUCGUGGUAGAUCAACUCUUGUAAUACUCAUAUCAUCAAGAUCAAUCAAGCAGGAAGUAGGGUAUUACCUCCAUCGAGAGGGCCCGAACCUGGGUAAACAUCGUGUCCCCAGCCUCUUGUUACCAUUAGCCUUAGACGUACAGUUCGGGACCCCCUACCCGAGGUCCGCCGGUUUUGACACCAACACCCACCACACAGGACCUGCACUCCAGCAAAAGGUAUACCGAUUUCAUUUGCCAUAGCACCAGCCGUACAACAGAAAAAUCCCACUCCAGCAAAAAGUACAGCAAGUCCACCGGCCGUAGACCUAUCCCAACUGCAGAGAUGGCCAAUUCCUGCAGAUUGGAAAACCAUUCCAUUUAUUGCCAGUUUAAAAUACAAUGGUUUCAAUGUUGUUAGGGACUAUGUGCAUAUAUUCCCAUCGUGGGAAGAUUAUAUUGAAGACAAACACCAUUUUCACAUCUUCCUAUCCAACUUACCUAUAAGUGCUAUUAUUCAUGGUUAUUAUUUUCUUGUUUUCUGCUGAUUGAACACAUCAAUGAUUUACAUUACAUUGUUGUAACUAGGCGAGGGUCAAUCUGGAUAGUCAUGGCAAGCAAAGCUUGCUUGUGCUUUUCAAGAAAGCAUUGCAGCAGUAUCGGUGUUACCUGAGGAAAUCACACUUUGAUGGCAAGUCUAUAAACGAAUUUCCGGUGAAGUCUCAUGUGCUAAAUUUAGAAGACAUUGAAUGGAAAAACCUUGUUAUGCACUGGUCUCGUUCCCAGGAUGAGGUAUUGUCUAUGAAAUCACAUGACAAUUUGAACUACUACUUUUCCGCAUGUGCCUUAUGGAUCUUUUUUGCAGGAAACCUGCUUGAAGAAGAAUUCCGGUUUUAAAAGAACGACAGGAUAUCGCAAAUAUGUUGCUCGCUGCUUUGCUCUUAUUAGUACCUAUUGUCUUGUAUCACUGUACUUGCAUACAUACCUGGUUCAUUAUGUGACAGCAGUAUGCAUGAUAGCUUGCUUAUCAAUUGUUCGCUCCAAAUUAUUUGAUUUGUAUGAAUGGUUACAUUAGUGUAGAAUAUAUCCAAUGCCAAUGAAUUUUUUUAGAUCUGCAUUGUUCUUGUAAGUACAUGAUGUCCUUUAUCAUUGUACUUAUAUUGACAGGUAGUUGUUCAUGUACCAUCACUCUGCAGCUUAUUUUCCUUUGCCCUCCAUUUUCUACACAUCAUAUCUAUAUUUACUCUUACCAUAAGGUUGGAUAACACCGAUGGUACUGAAGAAGUUUAGCUGUGCAUUGCUCUUGGUUGUAACUUUUGCCUGUAUCGCUGCACUUACAUUUAUAGCUACUUGGUUAUGCAGCAUCACUAUUCAUCUUAUAUUAAACAUUCUCCAUUUUUUCGUAUAUUAUCACAUCUAUAUUUACUCUUAACAAAAUGUAGAAUAAAGGCAAUGCUUAUGAAGAAGAUUAUGUGGUAAACUUCUUGAAUUGUCCCCCCCCCCCAUCAGCAUGGACAAGGGCUUUAUAGAGCUUGUCUUCACCAAUAAUGAAAGUUUGUCCUUCUCAAGCCUUCAAACUUUGUUGUGUCUAUUUGGUUAGGCAUGACUAAGGGAGUCCUGGAUAAGGGGGUAUCCGAACAGCCGGACUAUAUGCAUCGUCCGGACUAUAGAAGCGUCAAGAUACAAGACUCAAGACUUCGGCUCGUGUCCGGAUGGGACUCUCCUUUGCAUGGAAGACAAGCUUGGCGAUCCGGAUAUUAUGUUUCCUUCCUUGUAAACUGACUCCAUGUAAAACCUAGCUCUCCGGUGUCUAUAUAAACCGGAGAGCAUGGUCCUUAGAAGGCUGAUCACAAUUACAAUCAUACCAUCAUAGGCUAGCUCAUAGGGUUUAGCCUCUAUGAUCUCGUGGUAGAUCUACUUUUGUAUUCCACAUAUCUUCAAUAUUAAUCAAGUAGGAAGUAGGAUUUUACCUCCAUCGGGAGGGCCCGCACCUGGGUAAACAUUGUGUCCCUCGUUUCCUGUUACCAUCAGCCUAAGAUGCACAGAUCAGGACCCCCUACCCGAGAUCCGCCGGUUUUGACACCGACAUUGGUGCUUUCAUUGAGAGUCCCUUUGUGUCAUCGCUUCGAGGCUUGAUGGCGUCUUCAAUCGUCAAGAACACGGUCCGGGGUGAGACUUUUCUCCCCAGAAAAUUUUUUGUGUUCGGCGGCUUCGCACUGCGGGCCAAUUCGCUUGGCCAGUUGGAGCAGAUCGACAGCUUCACCCCUGGCCACCAGAUCAGGUUCGGAAACCUGAACUACACGGCAGAUGUCCGCGGAGACUUGACCUUCGACGGAUUCGAGCCUGCGCCAGGAGCGCCGGACAGCCACGAUGAGCACGGCCUAGACCUGCUGUCGGACAAUGCCCGGGACAUUCUCCCCGAGGCAACCCCGGAUCUAAAUCCAGGGCAGGUUGCGUUGCCUACGAAUGGAGGGCUGGACCCCGCCCCGCAGGACGCACACUUAUCGGUGGUGGAGCCGAACACGGGUCCCACCUCUGUGGAGGCCUGUAACCCCGGACCCCCGGACUCAUAUCCGGCUGUUGGUCAUGUUCCUCUCACUCUCGAGCCAGCCGAGCCAGGUUGGGCUCCGGUAAUGAAGUUUACCGCUGCGGACAUCUUUGAGCACUCGCCCUUUGGCGACAUGCUGAGCUCCUUGAAGUCUCUCUCUUUGUCAGGAGAUUCUGGGCCGAACUAUGUCCAGCCCGAGUGUGAAGCAGGCGACAAAGGAAUUUGGCGCCCACCCACCACCCACUUCAUUGCCACGAUCGAAGAAUUAACCAACAUGCUUGACUCUGAAGACAUCGACGGUAUGGACGACGAUGCAGGAGAGGCUCCAGAAUCCCUGGAGCAUGGGACUACUACCUUGUCACACGAUAUAUACAUGGUAGAUAUGCCCAAUAAAGACGGCAGCCCGGACGAUAAAACACCUAGGCAAAAGCCAAAGAGGCGGCGUAGACGCCGCUAAAAGUCCAGCAUUGGCAAAAACACCGACAAGAGCGCAAGAAGGGUUGAUAUACCCGCAAACUCCGAAAGCAAUAAUGACCACAUGGACCCAGCGAUGGAGCAGGACGAGCCAGGUCACGCCAAAUCAAGUUUGGAGCAAAUACCCAAUCAAAAUGAUCCAGAGGGACGAGCUCAGGAUGCCGCCCCAGAACAAGAAGACAGUCCAGACGACGAUGCAUUCAUCAUCCCGGACGAACAAGUGGAAUGAGACAACCUACACAGAAAGCUUAUGGCCACCGCAAGAAGUCUAGAAAAGCAGAAGCAACGGCUCAAGGCCACACAGGAAAAGCUAAGUUGCAGAUGGAAUAAGGUGCUAGACACUGAAGAAAGAUAUGGCGAUGACUACCAUACGAAAAGCUAUCCAAAGCGCAAGCUACUGCCAGAAUUCAACGACGCGGCCGUUCAACCAAAAGAAAAGUCGACCAAGAAACCAGACGUACCGCCUCACAACCAUAAUAGAGCGGCAGCGGACACUGCGCACGAUCCAUGCAAGCAUCCAGAUGAAAAGACCGGUGCAGCCAGGUCCAUAUAUGGAUCUAGAAGACACACCCCAGCGCAGGACUAUGGUCACCCAAACGCUCAUAAAAGCCAGAUACCAGUUCGGAAUCAACCCUGGACACAAUAAUAGCCGACUACAUGCCACAAUGCAUCUGGAUACAGAGGGGCUGCUCACCCCCUGUGCUUCACCGAAGAAGUACUGGACCACGAAUUCCCACAAGGCUUUAAACUUGUGAACAUAGAAGCAUACGAUGGCACGACAGACCCAGGGGUCUGGAUCAAGGAUUUUAUCCUGCAUAUUCACAUGGCUCGUGGGGAUGACCUCCACGCCAUCAAAUACCUUCCCCUCAAGUUGAAGGGACCAGCUCGACACUGGUUGAAAAGCCUCCCCGAAAACUCAAUUGGGAGUUGGGAGGAACUCGAAGACGCUUUCAGGGCCAAUUUUCAAGGGACUUAUGUCCGGCCUCCGGAUGCAGACGAUCUAAGUCACAUAAUCCAAUAGCCCGGAGAGUCCGCCCGCAAGCUUUGGAAUAGAUUCCUCACCAAGAAGAAUCAAAUUGUCGACUGUCUGGACCCCGAAGCCUUAGCGGCUUUCAAACACAGCAUCCGUGACGAAUGGCUCGCCCGACACCUCGGCCAAGAAAAGCCAAGGACAAUGGAAGCCUUAACAAGCCUUAUGACCCGCUUUUGCGCGGGUGAGGAUAGCUGGUUGGCCCAUAAAGGAACCAGCGACCCCAGCACAUCCGAACUAAGGGAUGGCAACGGGAAGCCACGGCGUAAUAAAAACAAACGCCAAAACAAGGAAGAGAGCCUGGAUAACACAACGGUUAAUGCUGGAUUCAGGGGCUCUCAACCUGAUCAGAAUAAGAAGCCAUUCAAAGGCACUAAAGACGGAUCAUCUGGUCUGAACAGAGUCCUGGACAGACUAUGCCAAAUUCAUGGCACCUCGGAAAAACCUGCAAACCACACCCAUAGAGAGUGUUGGGUCUUGAAGUAGGCCGGCAAAUUAAAUGCCGAACACAAGGGGAGGGGCACACCAAGCAAAGACGAGGAUGAACCUCACCAGCCGAACACUGGGGUACAGAAAAAAUUCCCGCCAGAGGUUAAAACAGUAAACAUGAUCCACGCGACUCGCACAUCCACGAGAGGGCAUAAACGCGCGCCCAUAGAAGCGCACAAUGUAGAUCCCGUCAUAUCCACGUCUCACUACUGGAUGUCUCGUCCGAUCACUUUCGAUCACAUGGACGGCCGAACUAGUAUUAGGCGCGAAGGAUCACAGGCCUUGGUGCUUGACCCACUAAUCGACGGAUACCGUCUCACCCGUGUCCUCAUGGACGGUGGCAGUGGGCUCAAUUUAAUAUACGAGGACACUGUCCGCAGAAUGGGGAUAGACCCAUCCAGAAUUAAACAAAGCAACACCACCUUUGAAGGGGUGAUACCAGGCGUUGCAGCCUGCGCCAGGGGCUCCGUCGUGCUGGAAGUAACAUUCGGCUCCCCAGGCAACUCCAGAAGCAAAGAGCUGCUCUUCACUGUCGCACCCUUCCAAAGCAGCUAUCACGCAUUGCUAGGAAGAGCGGCCUUCGCCCGCUUCAAUGCAUUGACGCACUAUGGCCACCUUAGACUCAAGAUGCCCGGUCCCCGUGGCGUCAUCACCGUUCACGGAAUAAUAAAGCGCCCUUCACGCGCAGAGGAAUACGCGGCGGCCCUGGCGGCCAGACUAUAAGUGGCCUCCAGUUUUAGAAACCAUGCUUGGUCAUUACGACCACAGACACGGUUAGACGAGUCCGGUAGCCCGGAUAAAUUCAAACAGGGCACUGUAUAUGUAAUCCCAUAAGGGAAACCAGGGGCUGUCUAUAUUUAAUAAAGCCCCACGCUUGGCUCGACCUUAUUGGUAGGCCAACAGCUUACACUCUUAUUAUUGAUCGCAUACUUAUGUUGCACCCUCCUACGAUUUUUUUUCUUUUUUACAGACAACGUUCGCGCGAUACCCUUCCAGGAUACGGCACAACGGAGACAAAGGCGCAGACGUGCAGCAGGGCCCCGUGCAACAGGUUUCUUUUUAGAUUAAGCCCAUGUGUAAACCUUUUCUGCUGCCUCUUGUUGUUUAACCAUCCCAUGGGUUCUAUACCCACAGAGGAUAAUGCCGUUUUUGGCAUUUGGCCACGGCAGACUAAAUUGCACGUACCUAGAAAUAAAGGUCUUAAAAUAGGCUCUUGUUAGCCUAUCUUCUUUUACAAAAGACCGAAUACCCUCGGGAGUGUUCGGCGUCACGACUUUGGUCAUAUAUGCAUCAGCUCCGAAUCAUGUCUUUGGUCAAAAUGUUGGGUUUGCCCGGCUCUUGGGUUUGCCGCCUUACGUUCCGCUAUCAUCCGGCUAAGCCAGGCCAAAGGAGAACUACUGCGAUUGUGCCCUGGUUAUUCUGGGUGAGUGCCUCAGUAGAGAAAGCUGAAAACUGACCAUCAUGAUACAGCAAGAGACUGUUCAACCACUCGAAGACUCACCGGAAUCCCUAAGGAUUCCUCCGCCUUAACGAAGGGCCGUUUCCCGGCCAUGUACACACGCCCCCGUAUUCGGAUGCACGUGGAGGUACCAGGGGCUACAUAGUAGCCCCACCAUUAGACUUCCAUGGCUAAGCGAAAGUGUUACAUCUAUAUAGUCCGGUUGCCUAGUUCGGCGUGCGAUCACCUCCUUAACGGACCAAGACGUUGGAUCAAGUGUGAUUAUGCAUUUUUUUUCGCCAACACCCCCGCAUUUUCCACGAGGGGGCUAAAGCCAACGACUGCUAUCUUCCAGACUACUUAUACAUAUAAGAAUAGCCACAAAGGGAGGACAAUCAUACUUCCGGGCACAGGUAUAAACAUAGCCUCAUAAUUAAACUAAACAUUGUUUUCGACAAUGAUUUGACUUGUCACUCGAAUAAAACACUCUUCGAGCACUGCGCCUCUAUUAGGCGGGCACCUUCGGUGACUUGCGCCAAGUAGUGCUCGGCCGGAUGUUGGACUCCCGCCGGAUCCUGGCUCGCUAUUACAGUGGCCUCCAUAUCCGUCCAGUAGGCUUUAACGCGGGCUAGAGCCAUCCGCGCACCCUCUAUGCACACCGACCUUCUCAGGGCGUCAAUCCGGGACACGGCUCCAAGGAAUUGUUGCACCAAACCAAAGUAGCUGUCCGGCUUAGGCCCCUUCAGCCAAAGAUAGUCUAUCACAGACCGCAUUGCAAGUCCAGACAGCCUGUGGAGCUCCGCCAUAGCAGCCACCUUCUCAUUCAGUGGCAGCGGGCGAGUGGGAGCAUUGAAUUGCGACCAAAAAAGCUUCUCCACUUCUUCAUCGCCUUGACCCUCGAAGAACUUGACAGCGUCAGCUGUACUAUUAGCCAAGUCCGCAUAUGCGUCCACAGGACUCAUACGACCCGCCAGGGGAGCAUACUUCGGAUCCAAGAACUUCGUACGCAGUAAGUACGAGCCCCCAGCCACGAUUUUGUCAGCUUGUUGGAGCUAAUCCCGCAUACUCCGGAUCUCGGUCUGCAUCUCCUUGGUGGCAUUACGUGCCUUGUCCAGCUCGGCCGAACUAGCCUUAUUCUCCUUUUCAAGGAGUGCAUACCGGUCGGCGGCAUUUUUUAACUCUUCAUCCAUUUCGGCUAUCUUUUCCUUGCUUCGGCGAUGAGCAGCCUGUUCGGCUCUCAACUCUUCGGCCGCCUUUAGGGCAGCCGCAUUGUCAGCCCGAGCUUGUUCCUUGGCUUGAGCAAGUUCCGCCCUCAGGGCCUCCAUGGCAGCAGCACCAUCUACAGUGCACACAUAUUGCAUUAAUAUUAUGCCGCUUUGGCAUUUUCUUACACAUUAUAAUAAAAACUAAAGCACAUACCCUGGGACUCCUCCAGCUGUUUAUUCACCAGCGUGAUAUCGGCAUCGAUGGAUCCGAUUUGCCUCCUCAGUUCGGCAACCUCAACAGACUGGUCGGCUGCCGGAUCCUUGCACACCUGCGCACAUGUACAGCGCAGCCAUCAGUAUACGAUGCCCCGUUUGCCGCCUAUGGCAUGCAACCAGAGUCUCAGGGGCUACUAUCUAUAGGGAGCACACCUAGCGCGUGCCUCAUAACCAAAAAGUUGUGCAUUUUUUACAUACCUCAAAGCCUUUGAGCAGGCUUGUAAAUGCCGCAUUCAAAUCGCUGGUAGCGGAUGAAAUCCUCAUGAGCACCAUGCUCAUUAAAGAGCGGUGCUCCUCCGAGAGUGCAGCUUGCUCCAGGCGGCUCGUCAAUACAUCCGGCCGGACACUGAACUGCGCCGGACCCUUCUCGUCGCCCCCCGUGGGAGCCAAACGCUCUGGGCUCAGGGCAGCUGACGUACUAGCCUCCGGCUUCGGCAUAUCCGGACUCCUCCGUGACAACACCUCCGUGUUGCCCGCCUCAUGAGGCGGAGAGUUUGGUGGGGUUUCACUCUCCAUCAUCUCCGGGCGAAGGUCCCCCGAAGACGAACUCUGUUGAGAAGAGCUGCUCGCCGGACUACAAAAAACGAAGUCCUGGUUAUGGAUCUCGGAGUAACAUCUCACCUUCGAAUUAAUGAAUGACUUACGGCUCGUUGGAGGGCUGGCCUGUUGGUGGGCAUGGCGUGGUGAGGGUGCCCGUCGUGGCAGAGCCCCUUGGUGAUGUUUUCUUCCCUUGCUUGGGCGUCUCCGCCUCCAAAUCUUCAGAGGCGGCCCUCUUCUUCCCGCGCAGGGGGGGGGCUUUGACCUUCCCUUCCCGACUAUCCUCCAUAGGAGGGUUAGCAAUUUCCCCGGUCUGGAUGCGCACCGCAUGAAGUUUAGCUUCACUGCCCUUUCCUUCGCCUUUCCCUGAAGGGAUUUUGCUAAGCGCCCGGUCCAGCAUCUUCGCAAUGGUGGGACCAGGCGAGCCUUCGGAAGUGGUGCCGGACACCUGUUUCUCUUCGCCUUGUCAAGCCAUUCCUGGCCGCGGAGGGAAUGUUAGAAUGAUAAUCCUGAUAAAUAUAAAUAAAGUGUCCGGCUUUAAGGUUACUUACUUGGGCAUCUAGGUGAUUGCAGCUUAGGCCCGCAUCCUCGGUGGUGUCCGGACACUUUGCUUGUGGUCCGAAGAAUAAUUUACACAUUCCUUCGAGCGUCAGGCCGAAGAAGUGCUUAAUAGUCCGCGGACCCUCCGGAUUAAACUCCCACGUGCGGAGAGGCCGACGUUUGCACGGCAAUAUCCAUCGGACUAGCAUUACUUGAAUUAUGCUGACAAGAUUUAUGUCCCUCCUAAUAAGCUCCCGGAUGCGAUUCUGCAGUUCUGGUACAUCGCCAGUAGGCCCAUAACUCCGUCCCACAUCGGCCCAAGAUGCCAACUAUGAUGGAGGGCCUGAGCGGAACUCUGUGGCAGCUACCCACUUUGUGCCUCUGGGAGCGGUGACAUAGAACCAUCUCCACUGCCAUACGUCGGACACUUCCAGAAAAGAACCCUCUAGCCAUGGGGCAUCUGCGUUCCUGCUUAUUAUGGUGCCUCCGCACUCCGCAUGUCGCCCCUCGACCAUCUUCGGCUUCACAUUGAAGGUCUUUAGCCAUAAGCCGAAGUGUGGGUUGACGUGGAGAAAAGCCUCGCACACGAUAAUGAAAGACGAGAUAUGGAGGAUGGUGGCGUCUGUAGCCAGAUCAUGGAAAUCCAAGCCAUAAUAGAACAUGAGCCCCCUCACAAAGGGGUCGAGGGUGAGGCCUAGGCCUCGGAGGAAGUGAGGAGUAAACACGACGCUCUUAUUGGGCUCCGGCGUGGGGAUGAUUUGCCCCGGAGCAGGAAGCCUUGCUGGAUAUCAGUAGUCAGGUAUCCGACCUCCCUAAGCUUCGCAAUAUCCUCCUCCUGAAUUGAGGAGGCCACCCACCGGCCUACUGCGUCAGAUCCGGACAUACUGGAGGAUCUGGGGUGUUGGAGCUUAGGUUUCGAGCAAUGGAGCUCGAGGUGCGAGAAGGAGCAGGAGAGGUGGAAAUGAUGUGUAGGCCUUGACCCCUUUAUAAAAGGGAUGAAUACCAAGAGUCCUCAGCAUGACCGCUUGAGACUUAUCUAAAAAAGAAACACGGAAUUAUACCAACAGACGCCAUGCGGUCGCACAUGCCCAUAUUGAUGAAAGAUCAUGUAUUAAGAGGGACACGAUCUCUGCUUUGGCAGGACGUGCCGAUAAAACCGCCUCGCAACGCGAGUUGAGGUGGAGCAGGAAACGCUGGUUCGUGUUGGACCAGGUCAUGAUGCAAGGGCACGACGUAUGAAGAUUGCCGGCAAAAUGGAUUUAUGCUAAGGGUGUGUGAAGAUCAUCUUGCAGAUCCGGACACAACCUACAUGUUCGAUAAAUCACCUUGGAGUAUUCGGAGGAGGAACCCACCUUGCAAUGCCGAAGACAAGACUGCGCGCCGGACUCAUCCUCAUUGAAGCCUGGUUCAGGGGCUACUGAGGGAGUCCUGGAUAAGGGGGUAUCCGGACAGCCAGACUAUAUGCAUCGUCCGGACUAUAGAAGCGUCAAGAUACAAGACUCAAGACUUCGGCUCAUGUCCGGAUGGGACUCUCCUUUGCGUGGAAGACAAGCUUGGCGAUCCGGAUAUUAUGUUUCCUUCCUUGUAAACCGACUCCAUGUAAACCCUAGCUCUCCGGUGUCUAUAUAAACCGGAGAGCAUGGUCCUUAGAAGGCCGAUCACAAUUACAAUCAUACCAUCAUAGGCUAGCUCAUAGGGUUUAGCCUCUAUGAUCUCGUGGUAGAUCUACUCUUGUAUUCCACAUAUCUUCAAUAUUAAUCAAGCAGGAAGUAGGGUUUUACCUCCAUCGAGAGGGCCCGAACCUGGGUAAACAUUGUGUCCCUCGUUUCCUGUUACCAUCAGCCUAAGACGCAUAGAUCGGGACCCCCUACCCGAGAUCCGCCGGUUUUGACACCGACAAUGACUGCAACAGCUGUUUAUUUUUGGUGUUUGCAUCAAAUUGCAUAUUUAAAGUUUAUUUUGUAGUUCAUAAACAAAAGUUUGUCCUUCUCAAUUUAAGUUUUCUGUUGUACAACCAAGCUCCUUCUUCAUACCAUGUAAAUUAAACUAUACUGAGCAAGUGAUCUUCUUUUGCACCGCAUGUAUGCUUCUGUUCUUCAUCCGUAAUCCAGUGGUGUGGUGAACCUACCCACUACAGCACAAUGUCAUAUUCCGCAAUGUCUUAACUAUGAACAAUGGCAUAUCAUUCUACUAUUAUUUAAACCGUCUCUUUAUUUGCCAAUCUGAAAUGGGAUAAAUUGACAGCACACUAACCAUUGAUACUUAUGAGUUCUUGAUCUGUAAUCCGGUGGUGUCGUGAAGCUGCCAACUCCUUCACAAUAUCAUUUCCUGCCAUGUCUUGAUCUGAACAAUACCAUAUUGUGUUAAUGCAAUUUUAAACUGUGUCACUUUAUUCGUCAGUAAGAAAUGUGAUGAAUUGUCAGCACUGAUUCUUUUAUGUGCAAAACCUAUCAUCUAUCUGCUUGUUUAUCUUUCAGAGUGAGGAAGAUAUAAGUGUUGAACAAGCGCAGUCUCAUCAGCUUGCUCAGCUGCUUGCGCCGCAGCUCCCCAGCAGGGCUAACCUUUCUUGAACUCUAUUGAAGUGCUGUCGGUUUUCUAUAUUAUUUUGUUGGUGUGUUUAUUUGCACUGGUGGCAAUCUUUGAUGCCCAGUGUAUGCAAUCUGCUGUCUACUUGUGCUUUAUUAUCAUAGUGGCGAACUUUGAUGCCCAGUGGAUGUAAUCUACCGUAAUUUCUUUAUUGUAUAGUCUAGGUUUUUUCUUAUUCACGAUGCUGCAGUUAUUUUACUAUAUAUAUAUCAUGUCUUUGCAGUAAACCGGCCAAACCGUAAAAUUACGGUACAUAAUCGGGCCGUCGUGCAAUCACGAUGUAUGAUCCGCAUCAUGGGCCCCGUCAUCUUGGUCCGUUAAAAGUCCAAAAGUAAACUGGCCCACUAGUAGAUUCGGGCCUUUAAUAGGCCGAGUAACCCUCGGCCCUCUUUUCGCAAGAAAACUCAAUGGGCUUUUAGGAGGCUGAGAAGUAGGUUGGGCCUGAAACGUGUCGAACAGCUCAUGGGCCGGCAUCAGCCUGAAAUGGACCCCGUCCCAUGAUUGUGCGAAUCAAAUCACGGGCUUUUAACAAGCCAAAAUUGUCUCGGUCCUUGUUUGUCCCAAUUAGAUAUCGGCUGCGAGCUGGCCGGAUGCAAACCGGGCCGUAGUUAGGCCCAACUAUAUGACGGGCUUUUAACAGGCCCAAAUUAAUAUAGGGCCGAAAUGUUAAACGGGCCCUCAAUAGGCCGAAACUAGUAUCAGGCCGAAUUACUAAAUGGGCCUUUAGCAAGUGGGCCCAAAAGCAUAGUGUCCAGUUGACGGGCCGAAUCUGAUAUGGGCCAUAAUUUUGCCCAAAGCCUCUUAAAGGGUCGGACCUGAUCUGGGUCGUAAUUUGACCCAGAACGUGGUAGGCUUUUAAAGGGACGGAUCUCAUAUGGGCCAUUAUUAGGCCCGGAACAUGGCAGACCAUUAAUGGACCGGAUCAAAUAUGGGUCGGCAUUUGGCCCAAAACAUGGCAGCCAGUUAAUGGGCCAGCCUACUAGGGUCCUCAAAACCUUGUGGGCCUACAGCUAGGUCGGCCUAUUAAUGUCGGCGAAAUCUCGUGGGCCGGCCCAUUAUGAUCCGCAAGAAUCUUGUGGGCCUUUACCUGGGCCGCCCCAUUAUGGCACACAAAAUUCUUGUGGGCCUUUACUUGGCCCGGCCCAUUAUGGCCCGCAAAAUCUUGUGGGCCUUUAGCUGGGCCAGCCCAUUAUGGUCCACAAAAUCUUGUGGGCCUUUAGCUGGGCCGGCCCAUUAUGGUCCGCAAAAUCUUGUGGGCCUUUAGUUGGGUUGGCCCAUUUAAACUUUAUGGGUCGGUCCACGUGUCAACAUAUCAUAGGCGCGUCUUGCCAUUGGAUGAGUGACACAUGUGCCAACGUGGAGCUGACACGUGUUUCCUCCAGCCAAUGAUGAUUUUACACGUGGAAAAUCCCCAUUGGUCCAGGCUGUUAACGGGUUAUCGGAUCCAAAACCGGACCCGAUAGCUUAACGGCGUUCCGUUACGUUGGAUGCCAUGUGUCGGUCACCCUUGACGAAAGCACUUCUAUGACGCGCGAUUUAUCGUCAUGGAAGUGGACACUUCCGUGAUGAUAAUUUUGGUAAUGUCAUGGAACACUUCUACGACAGCACAGGUAUGACUAUCUUGAUUCUAUCAUAAAAUCGUCAUGGAUGUACAUGCAUGACAAACACGCGACCUACUAUGACAAACAUGUAUCAUCACGGAAGUGUAUUUUUUUGUAGUGCUAGCUACUAACUACGGACCCAUAGGUCUACAAAGAACUACUCACGCAUCAUCGAAGAGGCACCACUGGAAGUGGUGAACCCCUCUGUGAUGGUGUCUAGAUUGGAUCUGGUGGUUCUGGACUCUGCGACGGCUGGAAUUGAUUUUCGUCGACUCCCCUAGGGUUUCUGGAAUAUUGGGGUAUAGGCCCAGGCGCACCCUGGUGGGUGCUGCUCCCCUCGAACCACCUGUCGUGGUACUAAGUCUGACAGUAAGUAUAGGGGGUACGUAUGAAGAGGCAAUGUCCUAGCUAUGACAAGAUUGUACGCAAGUGUUUACGAGUUUAGGCCCCUCUCGGAGGAGGUAAAAGCCCUACGUCUCGGUGCCCAGAGGCGGUCGACUAGAUUAUAUGAGUGUGUUAUAGGGGGUGCGAACCCUUGUGCCAGAGGAGGGGGUGGCUUAUAUAGGGUUCGCCAGGACCCCAGCCAUUCCCCGUUACAGAGGGUUCAAUGUACAUAAAGAUUGGGGCGUUACUGGUAACGCCAGCCUUAAGUGCCUUAAAUGACCUUAAAUAUUACGGAGUGAAUGCUCGGCUGUUGCUGUUCUGAAUGACUCCUGGUCUUUAGUAGGUCGAGUGGUUUCUUGUAUGGUCGAGUGGUUGACUCGUCGUGUGACUUCGGGAAGGAGGGGUACCCGAGUGGUUCGUUGGUUGAGUGGAUUGCACUCGAUGCCUUUAUUGGGUACUCCCUGUUGUCUCUUGAUCUUCUUUGCUUCUAGGGUAGUGACCUUAGGUAGGGCGUAUAGGUCAGGCCUAUGACCAUAGUACCCUACCCUAGGUCUUUAUCCUCAUCAUUAGCCCCCGAAUGGAUUAAGGUCCGAGUGGGAAGAAGAUUGAAGUUGAUCUCGCUUCGCCCCUUGCGCUUCACAAGUAUUUAUGCAGGACAGAAGGCUCGUGUUGGAACUUCAGCUUCGUUUCAGUCGCCUUGAUCGAUUAAGAAAGUUGCCAAGUGGAUUGAUUAUAUCAUCCGUCGAGUAUUGUUUUUUGGGCGCGAAAUCUUUGGCGCGAUUGGUUACGGUGUAUACCGGAUCUCACAGGAUUCGAAAUUUCGGGGAAGCGCGUGGGACAGAGCGUGCCGCGGUAAGCGAGAUGGAUAGACAGGAGCACCUCGAUCUCUGCGCCACCUUUUUCGCCAUGUACUCAGUGCACGACUGUUGCGGGAUUGGACAGGAUCGCCUGGGCCCACGCGUCAGCCACUCGGAAGCGGGCCUUUAAAAGGCGACGGAGCCGAGGUGCCUGCACUGUGCGCGUCCAUUUUCUCCAAUAUUCCUCUUCUUCUCCACUACAUCUGGCUCCUUCGCUCUCGACGCCGCCACUCCGCCACCAUGGUGAAGGACAAGACGGCGGCGCUGGAACGUGCGAAGAAGGCGACGGGGGCAGCAAAAGGCAAGAAGCAGAAUCGGGGGUCAUCGUCGCGGUCGGCGUUGCCUCCGGGUUGGAUCCAGGGCGAUUGGAUCUGAUCCUCACUCCGGCAGGAAGAUUUGGACGAGCCGGUGGAGUUCGGACUGAUCGUUGCUGGUGCUGCGUGGUUGCCGGAGAGGGAGACGGAGCCGCAACCGCGACUGGGUGAGUGCGUUCUGCUUGCCACUCAUGUCGACCGGGGUUUCUCGCUCCCUCCGCACCCCUUUCUCUGGGGUUUCUUGAACUUCUUCGGAGCCCAACUCCAUCACUUUUUCCCAACAACAUCACAUACCUUGCUGCAUUCGUGUCUAUGUGUGAGAAUUUUCUGGGUUGUCGACCACACUAGGGUCUUUUCAAGCACAUUUUCACUAUCCGCUCUCAGUCGGUGAAGAAAGCAAAUACGAGUGAAGAGAAAACACACGUCAUCCAGAUGUGUGGGGGUUUAGGUAUCCAGAAGAGGCAGAGGAGCUCUUUCCCUUCCAUGACCCUUCCUAAGUCGGUCAAAGGCUGGCAGUCGACCUGGUUCUACUGCCAGGACCUCGCCACUCUAGGCCAGUCGACCGGACUUCCCCAUUUCACCUUUGAUCGUGUUCAGACUCCUUCCUCGCUGAAAGUGACUACUGCUAAGAGUAUGGAAACAAACAUGCUAGUUGAGAGGAUGGUUCAAUUGAUCAAUCAAGGUGUCACUGGCAUGGGUUUGCUGGAGGUCUUCCUCAGUCGACGCAUCCAGGCGCUCCAGGCUCGUGACCACCCUAUGUGGAUGUAUUCUGGAGCCAACAACACCGCUCGGGUUCAUCAAGAGGAAGUGCCGGCUAAGACAGUGGCCCAAUGGUUGAGGAGUAUUAUAGGAAACAAGGACAACCCCAGAGGCGCCAGGAGAGUCGACCCCCUUUAGUGACAACAACCAGCCAGACAAGGUUCGGUCUCUGCCACCGACUGUGUUUGGGUACGUUUUCCGACUGUCUUGAAUCCGACUGACGUUCGCUCAACUUCUAUUCUUGUAGGUUUAUACUAAGAUGUACUCAAUACCCAAUGGUGAACAAGCUCUAGAGUAAGACCGCGAAGGAGGAGACAGCGCGGAGGAGAGCGGCAAUUGGCAAUCUCAGGACGAUGAGGACGAAGAGGAGAGCGACGAGUCGGGCGAUGAAGAGAUGGUCGACUCACCGCCUCGCUCGGAACAUCGAUCCAAGCUACUCCAUGAUCCAGCGGGCGGGCGCAGCAAGACCGCGGUCCCAAGCACCCAAGCGUAGAAGCGUACUCGGACUUCGACCCCGGAGCCAACGAAAAAAGUCGCCAAGCAGCUCAAGGUAGUUCCUCCAAAAGGUCAGAAGACUCUGCCCAGGAUUAAGAUGGAUGUUCCUGUUGCCUCUGGGUGAGUGUUCCUUUCUGUGUUUUCCUCUGCCGACUGACUCUUCUGUUCUGACCGAAUGGAUCAUGCAUGUUUCCGGCCCAACCUCUGCCGCGACUGAUAUGGACGUUGACAAGGCCCCAGGAUAUGAGGAAGCCGAUGAUGCGGCCACCUCCAGAGCUAGUAAGUCCGCUCGACUAAAACUUAUUUAGUCGAUUGAGUUGUCGGUCAGUUGAAUUUCUGAUGUUUUCUUUUUGUUGUAGCUCCACGAGACGUUGUCGUGCUUCCAGAUGAUGAUGAAGAAGAAGUGCCUCUGAGGGAGAGGAGGAGGAGGGACAAGGACUCGAGCGGGAAAGCGCCUGAGGUUCAGGUCCCUCAGUCAAUGUUGGUGCUUGAGACAGUGGUCGAGCGAUCUGGAGAUCCGGUUCGGACCAAUGUCACAUUCGCUAACCCGCUGUGGACUGAUCGCCCAUCAGGGUCGACUGCUCAGACCCCUACUGCUCCAGUGCAACUCCAUGCGUCCUACCCACUGGCUGCUUCGACUGCCUUGGCACCAUCGCUCUUUGCUGCAUACCAAACUCCAGACGACUCGCCAAGUGCCGCCAGGGAGGCUCUUCGCCAGGUGAAUCUUGUGAUGGAGCAAGUGAAGGUGAUGCACGAGGCCAGUCAGGUGGCCUAUAAUGCCAGCACCGCUCUGCAGACCAACAUUAAGGUCAGUUGAUUCCCGACUGAACUUUUGAAUAAUGAAAAGUGCCACUAUUGUUUCGUUUCCCAUAUGUGCAUCUACUAUCAUGGGUUUGUGUUCCACAUCCAAUCACCCACUGGGGUGUGCCUGCCUUAGAGUUAAAUAGGUCUUCCACUUCAUUCGACUUAUGUUGAGUCGAGUGUUUGUCUGAACCAGUGGGGGCACGCAGAGUGCACCCACUGGGUGUAGUCCUCGAGACCACGGUCGAUUGCUGGCAGUCGGCUGGGGUCCGAGAAUCUACUCUCUCUUUUUUUGAACUCACACUGGAUAGACCAUGCUGAGUGUUGAACCGAACCAGUGGGGGCACUCUAAGUGCACCCACUGGGUGUAGUCCCCGAGACUACUGUUGAAUGUUUGAUUCGGCAGUAGUCUUAGAGUAACUUUCACUGUGAAUGUCUUUUGUUUCUGCCGAUUGACAUAUCUUGUUUGCUGACUAUAGAGGUCGUGUGAUCUUGGGGCUCAACUUUCCGAAUUGAACAAGAAACAAAUCAGCCUUAGUCUUGAUCUGGAGCUGGCCAAGAAGAACCUCAAGACUGCUCAGGACGAAGCGACUAUCAUGGGAGGUAAUCAAUCGUCAACUGUCCACCUUAUGACCCGUACUCCGCCGUGUUUCUCCUUUUAGUCUCUUUGAACCGAGUGACUUCACUCGAACAAAUGUACAUAGUGAAAACCGUCAACUUCAAGCUCGUCUGAAGAAUGUUAUUUCUUUAGAGAAAAUGAAGGAGGCUCUGGAGAAGAAGGAUCAGGAUCUUGCUGCAGCUCAGAAGGAGGGGCAAGAGAAUACAGUGCUUGCGGACAAGAAGCUGGCUUCAGUUAGCAAGUUAGAAGAGGAGAACUCGAAGCUAAAGACUACCGUCUCUGAGGCCAAUCGGGAGGUCGAACAACUGAAGAAGGACAAGGAGAACUUAACCAACGAAGUCUGAAGCCUCAAAGCCAAGAAGGGCGAGCUGGAGUCCUAUCUGGGACAACUUGCAGCAAAAUUAGUCCUGGAGCUUGAAGGUAUUAUCGUUCGACUCAUUAGUUGUUGUCGAUUGGUACGUCUUGUCAUACUGUCGACCCACCAUUUUUUCCGACUAUGCAGAACUUUGUCAGGACUUUGAGGCUGAGACUGGGCGGGUCGAGACGAGUCUCGACCCUAUCAAUUGUCCUGUUAAAGAUGAUGUUGCGAUGAACUUGAUGCGGUUGGAAUCACGCAUGAACAGCAUUCUUGCUUAUCUUGCCCGAUUGAAGGCGUCAAUGACUUGGGUUGAUGCUGAACUCUGGCCUCAGGCGGAACUUUCACAAGAUCUCAAGUCAUUGAUGACUCGACUGAAUCAGAUCCCUGGCCGAGUGCAAGAAAGGAAGAAAUUGUCCGCUCGCUGUGGCGCUGACGUUGCCCUGUCGUUGGUCCGAGUGCACUGCAAAGACGCCAGAGAAGACAAGCCGGUGGCCCUCAAGGUUGUGAACACCAAGAAGCACACUUUCCAGUCCUUCAUGGACACUUUCCUUGAAGCCGCCACUCGCAUUGCAGACAGCAUUGAUCUUGACAGUUUCUGUGAUCCAGCCAGCCCUUCUCCUGACGAGUGACCAAAAAACAUUAUGCCCCACCUUUAUUUGCCUCGGAAUGCCGAGUGAUCAUGUAAUCAUUAAACUCUUUCAGGCUUGGUGCUUGAGUACUCUUGCCUGCUGCAGUUCUGAACUUUUGCAGGGUUUAUCUGAACUUGAAUUUCUCUGAAUAUCAUGGUUUUUUGCUCUAUUUUUUAAACUGUUUCUGAUUGUCCUUCGGUUCCGAGUGGACUUGAUCUUCUCACCCUUUGCUGAAUGAAUGUACAUUGUACUUGUGACAGAGCUCAGUCGCGGUGUUCAGUCGACACCUCGCCGUCCUUGCGGAUAGGGACGGAACAUUGUACUUGUGGCGUAGCUCAGAGGUGGUGCUCAGCCGAUGCCUCAUCGUCCUUGCGGAUAGGGACGGAACAUUGUAUUUGUAGCGGAGCUCAAAGCAUAUUUGUGACUUAGGCGAUUACAGGGUCACAGCUAAGUCCCCGAGUGGGAGGAUUGCUCUCCACUUGGAGCGUUUUUUAACUUAGGCGAUUACGGGGUCGCAGCUAAGCCCCCGAGUGGGAGGAUUGCUCUCCACUCGAAGCGUUUUUUAACUUAGGUGAUUACGGGGGUCGCAGUUAAGCCCCCGAGUGGGAGGAUUGCUUUCCAUUCGGAGUGUUUUUAACGUAGGCAAUUACAGGGUCGCAACUAAGCCCCCGAGUGGGAGGAUUGCUCUCCACUCGGAGUGUUUUUAACUUAGGCGAUUACGGGGUCGCAGCUAAGCCCCCGAGUGGGAGGAUUGCUCUCCACUCGGAGUGNNNNNNNNNNNNNNNNNNNNNNNNNNNNNNNNNNNNNNNNNNNNNNNNNNNNNNNNNNNNNNNNNNNNNNNNNNNNNNNNNNNNNNNNNNNNNNNNNNNNNNNNNNNNNNNNNNNNNNNNNNNNNNNNNNNNNNNNNNNNNNNNNNNNNNNNNNNNNNNNNNNNNNNNNNNNNNNNNNNNNNNNNNNNNNNNNNNNNNNNNNNNNNNNNNNNNNNNNNNNNNNNNNNNNNNNNNNNNNNNNNNNNNNNNNNNNNNNNNNNNNNNNNNNNNNNNNNNNNNNNNNNNNNNNNNNNNNNNNNNNNNNNNNNNNNNNNNNNNNNNNNNNNNNNNNNNNNNNNNNNNNNNNNNNNNNNNNNNNNNNNNNNNNNNNNNNNNNNNNNNNNNNNNNNNNNNNNNNNNNNNNNNNNNNNNNNNNNNNNNNNNNNNNNNNNNNNNNNNNNNNNCCUCCGAGUGGGAGGAUUGCUCUCCACUCGGAGUGUUUUUAACUUAGGCGAUUACGGGGUCACAGCUAAGCCCCUGAGUGGGAGGAUUGCUCUCCACUCGUAGUGUUUUUAACUUAGGCAAUUACGGGGUCGCAGCAAAGCCCCCGAGUGGGAGGAUUGCUCUCCACUCGAAGUGUUUUUAACUUAGGCAAUUACGGGGUCGCAGCUAACCCCCCGAGUGGGAAGAUUGCUCUCCACUCGAAGUGUUUAACUUAGGCGAUUAUGGGGUCGCAGGUAAGCCCCCGAGUGGGAGGAUUUCUCUCCACUCGGAGUGUUUUUUAACUUAGGCGAAUCGGGUUCGUGUCUAAGCCACCACCCACUGGGGGAUUUGGACGCAAGUGAUUACGAGAAAUCAAUCAUUAAGAUACUGUAAAGAUCUUGUCUUUGGGAAAACAAACUGAAGUGCUUUUAUUAAAACUCGUCGGUUCGAGUGAUUCUAGGUAUAGAAAGGACGAAGCAGCUCCGCGUUCCAUGCAUGUGGCUCAUCCAUUUUCUUGGCUACGUUGUAGAUGUGAUACGCUCCAUUGUGUAGCACCUUGGUGAUGAUGAAGGGACCUUCCCAGGCCGGAGCGAGCUUGUGAGGUCGUUUCCGAACCACUCAGAGCACAAGGUCUCCUUCCUGAAACGCUCGACCUCUGACAUUGCGGGCGUGGAAUCGACACAGAUCCUGCUGAUAAAUGGUCGACCGAACCAAAGCCAUAUCGUGUUCUUCCACCAAGAGAUCGACUGCGUCUUCGCAUGCUUGCUCUGCUUCGGCUUUUGAUAACAGUUCAACUCUGGGAGCAUUGUGUAGCAAAUCACUCGGGAGUACCGCCUCAGCACCGUACACCAGGAAGAAAGGGGUCCGCUCAGUCGACCGGUUGGGUGUUGUCCUCAGCCCCCAUAGGACUGAUGGCAAUUCGGUCACCCAAGCUCCAGCAGCAUGUUUAAGAUCAUGCAUCAGGCGAGGCUUAACAACUGAAGGAUCAAACCAUUCGCCCUUUCAGCCUGUCCAUUUGACUACGGGUGCGCGACAGACGCAUAGUCGACCUGAGUGCCUUGAGAUGCACAGAACGCCUUGAACUCAUCAGAAUCAAAGUUGGAGCCAUUAUCUGUGAUGAUACUGUGAGGAACUCCGUAUCUGAAUAUCAACUCUCUGAUAAAACUGAUGGCAGUGCCUGCUCCAAGGUUCUUGAUAGGCUUGGCUUCGAUCCACUUGGUAAACUUGUCGAGUGCUACAAGCAAAUGGGUGAAGCCACUUGCACCAGUUUUGAAGGGCCCAACCAUACCCAACCCCCAGACUGCAAACGGCCAGACGAGUGGAAUAGUUUUCAGGGCAGAUGCGGGCUUGUGAGACAUGUUGGAGUAAAACUGGCAACAUGCGCACUUAUCGACUAUAUCUUUCGCCAUCUCAUUUGCUCGAGGCCAAAAAAAUCCCGCUCGGUAUGCUUUGGCCACGAUGGUCCGAGAGGACGCAUGGUGACCACAGGUCCCCGAGUGGAUAUCAUUUAGGAUCAUUUGACCUUCUUCUAGGGUGAUGUAGCGUUGGGCUACUCCAGUGACACUCUCUUUGUAAAGCUGCCCUUUCAUCACGGUGAAAGCUUUGGAAUGGCGGACUAUCUGGCGAGCCUCGUCUUCGUCCUCUGGGAGCUCUUUUCUGAGAAUGUAUGUGAUGUAUGGAACCAUCCAAUCGGGAGUGAUCACCAAGACUUCCAUGAUCAGGUCGACUAUGGUUGGAACCUUAUCUCAGUCACGUUGGUUGGACUUAUCGGUUGUGGGGCCUCUUCUUUGAAGGGAUCUUCUUGCACUGCAGGGUAUGGAGAUGCUCCAAGAACACAUUGUUGGGGAUAGGCUUCUGAGUGGAACCUAUCUUCGCCAGAUCAUCAGCAGCUUGAUUUUUGAUUCGCGGUAUGUGGUAGAGCUCCAAUCCCUCAAACUUCUUCUCUACCUUUCUCACCGCGUUGUAGUAACUUAUCAUCGCGGGACUCCUGACGUCCCAUUCCUUCAUCACUUGGUUAACCACCAAAUCUGAGUUGCCAUAAACCAUCAGGCGUCGGACGCUGAGUGAAAUGGCCAUACGCAACCCAUAUAAAAGUACUUCAUACUUAGCUUCAUUGUUUGAAGAGUCAAAGUGAAUCUGAAGGACAUAACUGAGCUUGUCUCCUCGUGGGGAUACUAAGACCACUCCUGCACUAGAGCCAUUUAACAUUUUGGAUCCAUCAAAGAACAUGGUCCAAUGUUUCGACUGAAUUUGAAUUGGUUGUUGUUGUUCAGUCCGCUCUGCGAGGAAAUCUGCAAUUGCUUGAGACUUAAUGGCCUUCUUUGCCUCAAAUUUGAUAUCCAAAGGAAGAAGUUCAAUUGCCCAUUUUUCCACUCGACCAGUUGCAUCUCUGUUAUUCAGGAUCUCUGACAAUGGAGCGUCACUGACAACUGAUAUUGAAUGAUCAGAGAAAUAAUGUGCAACCUUCUUCAUGCUCAGGUAAAUCCCAUAAACAAGCUUCUGAUAAUGAGGAUAUCUCUGCUUGGAUGGGGUUAAGACUUCUGAGAUGUAAUACACGGGGCGCUGAACUUUGAAGGCCUUGCCUUCUUCUUCCUGCUCGACUGUGAGCACUGUGCUAACAACUUGUCCUGUGUCUACAAUGUAAAGCAGCAGGGGCUCCUUGCUAAUCGGAGCAGCAAGCACCGGCUGGGUGGAAAGCAGUGCUUUGAGCUCUUUAAACGCUGCUUCAGCUUUGUCACUCCACUCAAACUUGUCAGAUUUCUUCAUCAGUCGGUAAAGAGGCAGUGCCUUUUCACCGAGGCGUGAGAUGAAUCGGCUCAAAGCGGCCAAGAAACUAGUAAGCUUCUGAACGUCAUGCACGCGCACUUGGCGCUUCAUUCGGAGGAUUGUGCCAAUCUUCUCAUGGUUUUCAUUGAUCCCUCGUUCGGAAACAAGGAAACCGAGUAACUUUCUGCCUGGGACUCCAAAUGUGCACUUAGAUGGGUUAAGCUUGAUAUCAUACCUUCUCAGGCUGGCAAAGGUUUCAGCAAGGUCAGUCAGCAGGUCGGAACCUUUGCGUGACUUAACCACUAUGUCAUCCAUAUAUGCUUCCACAUUCCGACUAAGUUGAGUGAGCAGGCACUUCUGAAUCAUGCGCAUGAAUGUGGCACCAGCAUUUUUUAGGCCGAAGGGCAUAGUAACAUAGCAAAAACACCCAAACGGGGUGAUGAAAGCUGUUUUUAUCUCGUCGGGUCCAUACAGUCGGAUCUGAUGGUACCCGGAAUAAGCGUCCAGGAAGGAUAGUCGCUCACAUCCCGCAGUUGAGUCGACAAUCUGGUCGAUGUGGGGUAGAGGAAAAUGAUCUUUCGGGCAGGCCCGAUUGAUGUGUUUGAAGUCAAUGCACAUUCGAAGCAAAUUGUCUUUCUUAGGAACCAUAACGACAUUGGCGAGCCACUCGGAGUGGUAUAUCUCGCGGAUGAACUCAGCAGCCAGGAGCCGAGCGACUUCUUCACCAAUGGCCUUUCUCUUCUUCGUGGCGGAUUGACGGAGGUACUCUUUGACAGGUUUUACUUUUGGAUCAACUCGCAAACGGUGCUCAGUCAGUCCCCUGGGUACACCUGGCAUGUCAGAUGGCUUCCAUGCAAAGAUGUCCCAAUUCUCACGGAGGAACUGGAUGAGCGUUUCUUCCUAUUUGAUGUAGAGUUUUGACGAGAUAUUGGUUGGAGUGGCAUUAGGGUCAGACAGGUGAACGUGGACUGGCUUGGUCUUGCCGGCCGACUGGAAUGCAGACUCUGAGGCAGGCCUCUUAGCGCGCAGUAAAUCACUCGGGUCUGUCGUUUUCUGAUAUUCUUGGAACUCUACCACCGCCAUCUGCUCAUCUGCUAUUUUUGCCCCAUCCUGAAGACAAUUCUCUGCUCUCUGACGGUUACCAGAAACCGUGAUUACGCCUCUGGUGGCCAGGCAUCUUCAUCUUGAGAUAAACAUAGCACGGUCGAGCCAUAAAACUAGUGUAACCGGGUCUGCCCAGAAUGGCAUGAUACGCACUCUGGAAAUCCACUACCUCAAACGUCAACUUCUCCUUGCAGAAAUUCUUCUCAUCGCCGAAAACCACAUCGAGAGUGAUCUGGCCGAGUGAUUCGGCCUUCUUUCCUGGUAUGGUCCCAUGGAACCGCAUGUUACUCUCGCUAAGUUUGGACAUCGGGAUGCCCAUUCCUUUGAGAGCUUCAGCAUACAUAAUAUUCAGGCCACUGCCACCAUCAAUCAGGACCUUAAUCGGUCGGGUGCCCCCCACGACUGGGUCGACCACCAGCGCCUGCCGCCCAGGGGUAGCUACGUGUGUCGGGUGGUCGGAUUGGUCGAAUGUAAUGGGAAUCUUUGACCACUUUAGAUAUCUUGGUGUUGCCGGAGCAACCAUGUUUACCUCCCUGUUAAUGACCUUCAGUCGACUUUUGCUUUCUAUGUCGGCAAAAAUCACCAAGGUGGCAUUGACAUUGGGAUAACCACCGUCAUCGUCCUUAUCUUCUUCUUCCUUCUCAGGCUCUUUGUCCUUAUCACUGGGUUUACUUUCUCGGAAGCUCUGAAUAAGGAGUCGACAUUGUCGAGUCACUACAAAAAAAAUACACUUCCAUGAUAAUACGUGUUUGUCACAGUAGGUCGCGUUUUUUGUCCUGCAUGUACAUCCAUGACGAUUUUAUGACAGAAUCAAGAUAGUCAUACCUGUGUUGUCGUAGAAGUGUUCCAUGACAUUACCAAAAUUAUCAUCACGGAAGUGUCCACUUCCAUGAUGAUAAAUCGCGCGUCACAGAAGUGCUUUCGUCAAGGGUGACCGAGACGUGGCAUCCACCGUAACGGGACGCCGUUAAGCUAUCGGGUCGGGUUUUGGAUCCGAUAACCCGUUAAUAGCCCCGACCAAUGGGGAUUUUCCAUGUGUAAAAUCAUCAUUGGCUGGAGGAAACACGUGUCGGCUCAUCGUUGGGACAGAUGUCAUCCACUCAUUGGACAAAAGGCGCCUAUGAUAUGUCGACACGUGGCACGGCCCAUCAAGUUUAAAUGGGCCGGCCCAACUAAAGGCCCACAAGAUUUUGCGGACCAUAAUAGGCCGGCCCAGCUAAAGGCCAAUGAGAUUUUGCGGACUAUAAUGGGCUGGCCCAGGUAAAGGUCCACAAGACUUCGCGGGCCAUAAUGGGCCGGCCCAGGUAAAGGCCCACAAGAUUUUUGUGUGCCAUAAUGGGCCGGCCCAGGUAAAGGCCCACAAAAUUCUUGUGGAUCAUAAUGGGCCGGCCUCGCUAAAGGUCCACGAGAUUUCGCCGACACUAAUGGGCCGGCCCAGCUAUAGGCCCACAGGAUUUUGAGGACCCUAGUAGGCCGGCCCAUUAACUGGCUGCCAUGUUUUGGGCCAAAUGCCGGCCCAUAUUUGAUCCGGUCCAUUACUGGUCUGCCACGUUGCGGGCCUAAUAAUGGCCCAUAUCAGAUUUGGCGUGUUAACUGGACGCUAUGCUUUUGGGCCCACUUGCAAAAGGCCCAUUUAGUAAAUCGGUCUGAUAUUAGUUUCGGCCUGUUAAGGGCCCGUUUAACAUGUCGUCCCUAUAUUAAUUUCGGCCUAUUAAAAGCCUGUCAUAUAGUUGGGCCUAACUACGGCCCGGUUUGCAUCCGGCCUGCUCGCAGCCCAUAUGAUUGGGCCAAACAAGGAUCGAGACAGUUUUGGCCUGUUAAAAGCCCGUGAUUUGAUUCGCUCAAUCAUGGGUUGGGGUCCAUUUCAGGCUGUUGUCGGCCCGUGAGCUGUUCGGCACGUUUCAGGCCCAACCUACUUCUCAGCCUCCUAAAAGCCCAUUGAGUUUUCUUGCGAUAAGAGGGCCAGGGGUUACUUGUCCUAUUAAAGGCCCGAAUCUACUAGUGGGCCAGUUUGACGGGGCCCAUGAUGCGGAUCAUACAUCGUGAUUGCAUGACGGCCUGAUUAUGUAGCGUAAUUUUACGGUUUGGCCGCUUUACUGUGAAGACAGGAUAUAUAUACAAUAAAAUAACUGCAGCAUCGUGAAUAAGAAAAAACCUAAACUAUACAAUAAAGAAAUUAUGGCAUAUUACAUCCAUUGGGCAUCAAAGUUCACCACUAUGAUAAUAAAGCACAAGCAGACAGCAUAUUACAUACACUGGGCAUCAAAGAUCGCCACCAGUGCAAAUAAACACGCCGACAAAAUAAUAUACCAAACCGACAGCACUUCAAUAGAGUUCAAGAAAGGUUAGCCCCGCUGGCGACCUGCAGCGCAAGCACCUGAGCAAGAUGAUGAGACUGCGCUUGUUGAACACUUAUAUCUUCCUCACUCUGAAAGAUAAACAAGCAGACAGAUGACAGGUUUGGCACAUAAAAGUAUCAGUGCUGACAAUUCAUCACAUUUCUUACUGGCGAAUAAAGUGACCAGUUUAAAAAUGCAUUAACACAAUAUGGUAUUGUUCAGGUCAAGACAUGGCAGGAAAUGACAUUGUGAAGGAGUUAGCAGCUUCACGACACCACCGGAUUACAGAUCAAGAACUCAUAAGUAUCAAUGGUUAGUGUGCUAUCAAUUUAUCCCAUUUCAGAUUGGAAAAUAAAGAGAAGGUUUAAAUAAUAGUAGAAUGAUAUGACAUUGUUCAUAGUUAAGACAUUGCAGAAUAUGACACUGUGCUGUAGUGGGUAGGUUCACCACACCACUGGAUUACGGAUGAAGAACAGAAGCAUACAUGCGGUGCAAAAGAAGAUCACUUGCUUUGUAUAGUUUAAUUUACAUGGUAUGAAGAAGAAACUUGGUUGUACAACUGAAAACUUAAAUUGAGAAGGACAAACUUUUGUUUAUGGUAAAACAUAACCAAGUAGCUAUAAAUGUAUGUGCAGCGAUACAGGCAAAAGGCACAGCCAAGAGCAAUGCACAGCUAAACUUCUUCAGUACCAACCUUAUGGUAAGAGUAAAUAUAGAUCUAAUGUAGAAAAUGGAGGGCAAGGGAAAAUAAGCUGCAGAGUGAUGGUACAUGAAAAACUACCUGUGAAUAUAAGUACACUGAUAAAGGACAGCAUGUACUUACAAGAACAAUGCAGAUCUAAAAAUAUUCAUUGGCAUUGGAUAUAUUCUACACUAAUGUAACCAUUCAUACAGAUCAGAUAAUUUGGAGCGAACAAUUGAUAAGCAAGCUAUCAUGCAUACUGUUGUCACAUAAUGAACCAGGUAUGUAUGCAAGUACAGUGAUACAAGACAACAGGUACUAACAAGAGCAAAGCAGCAGGCAGCAUAUUUGCGAUAUCCUGUCGUUCUUUUCAAACAGGAAUUCUUCUUCGAGCAGAUUUACUACAAAAAAGAUCCAUAAAGCACAUGCAGAAAAGUAGAAGUUCAAAUUGUCAUGUGAUUUCAUAGACACCUCAUCCUGGGAACGAGACCAGUGCAUAACAAGGUUUUUCCAUUCAAUGUCUUCUAAAUUUAGCACAGGAGACUUCACCAGAAAUUCGUUUAUAGACUUGCCAUCAAAGUGUGAUUUCCUCAGGUAACACCGAUACUGCUGCAAUGCUUCCUUGAAAAGCACAAGCAAGCUUUGCUCAUCAUGAUUAUCCAGAUUGACCCUCGCCUAGUUACAACAAUGUAAUGUAAAUCAUUCAUGUGUUCGAUCAGCACAAAACAGGAAAAUAAUAACCAUGAAUAAUAGCACUUACACGUAAGUUGGACAGGAAGAUGUGAAAAUGGUGUUUGUCUUCACUAUAAUCUUCCCAUGAUGGGAAUAUAUGCACAUAGUCCCUAACAACAUUGAAAGCAUUGUCUUUUAAACUGGGAAUAAAUGGAAUGGGGUUCCAAUCUGCAGGAAUUGGUCGUCUCUGCAGUUGGGAUAGGUCUUCGGCCGGUGGACUUGCUGUACUUUUUGCUGGAGUGGGAUUUUUCUAUGGUACUGCUGGUGCUAUGGCAAAUGAAAUCGGUAUACCUUUUCCUGGAGUGCAGGUCCUGUGUGGUGGGGCUAGUGGUGUGGCGAGUGAAGUAUGGGUACAGUCUACUGGAGUCGGUCCUACGUUUUGUGUCACUGGUUGUACAUCCAAUAUAAGUGGGGCCAUGUCUGAUUUCUCCGGCACCACCACGUUUUCCAAGGACUUUGUUGGUGCUCCUUCGGGUUCGGCAAUCACCCUCUUCCUUUUUGAUGUCUGAUGCACAAGAACAGCAUUUGAGUGGAAAAACAUGGUAUGAUGACAGAUGGAAUAUGUAUUGAUAAUGGAUGGGCAUGGCAUCUCGAGUUAUAUGAUGAGUAAACUAAGCAGAUGGCGGUGCAACAAAGUAGAAGAAAUGCAAGACAACAUAUGCAAGAUACGCACAAUCAAUAAAACCUUGCCAAAUUAGAACAGGCACCUUGAUGGGUGAACAGGGCAGGCCAUCUGCCUUUGAAUCCUUGAGGUUAGAAUAGUCAUUAGGAUGAUAUUCUGAACAAGAAUCAACAGGUGGGGAGCGUAUGAGUUUCAUUGCUUCCAGAAUGGCACUCAAUGCCUUGGUGCCAAUUUUGUAAGUCAUUGCAGUGUUCCACAAUAUUCUUCUGAUGUGCGGAUUCUGAUAUUCACUGUAAUUGUGUAUAAUAUCUGAGAACCAUGAAAACAUAAAUAGUUUUUUGUGAGAUUAUCUUUGUAAUGCAGAUGAUAUUCUAAUAUAGGGGCGUCCCUGUAAACACUUGUGUGCUAUCACUGGAUUCUGAUGAGAGAGCUCAUGUGUGCUGUAAUAUGGUGCAUGCAUUUAUAUAAUCUGGCACAAGUACACAAAAAAAUAGGCUCCAGAAGUAAGGAUAGCUGGCAGAUGACAGGUUCAUAAUAUACUGUAUAGAGAGUUUAUUGCCAAACCAUCAUAACAAGAGCACACAGCAACUAGGCAGAUCAUAGUGUACAUUUUUUUUGGAACUGAAGAGCUUUAUUCAAUUAAGCUGGCUCCGCCACUGUCCGCCAUGAGGCUAGUGACCAAAAGUCCAGGGGGAGAGCCCAUCCAACACUCUGUCACCUCCAAUGUGCUUGCAUGUCUUGCACAAUGGUGGGCCGGAACAUUUGAAUGCCUCUUUACAUGAAUGAUAAGAAAACUAGAAAAAGUAUUUGCUAGCUCUUCAAUAUCUAAUAACACAGGCGCUAUGAGGGAGCGCGAAGAACGGCGCGAGUCCCAGAGAUCCACCACAUCUUUGCUAUCAGUCUCCAUCUGUACUCGCCCAAAGCCCCGAAGCUUUGCAAAAACCAUGCCUUAACGAAGAGCCAUAGCCUCCGCUACUAGUGUGUCGGUAACACCCCGAGCCGGUUUGCACCAAGCUCCGAUGAAUGCAGUAGAUGAACGAGCAACACCUCCCAAUCCAGCAAGCCUUGCCUCCAUAAAUAUCCCUGCAUCGAUAUUGAUUUUGAUGCAGCCCUCCUUGGGAGGGCGCCACCCAAAUCCUGGUAGGGAUCGUGCCACCGCCCUGGGCAGCUCUAGAAUCGCCAGGUCAUCCCUGGCCCUCUUCAUAGUCAUCACCGGGUCAAGACCUGAUCUAUCAUGAGUGAUAUUGUUUCGAGACGUCCAAAUCGCCCACAUAAUUGUGAUGAUUUUUGUACGUUCACUGCCUUCAAACCUGGGAUCACACAAGAUGUCUUGGGACCAUGUCAAUGUAUGAAGUUCUGGGAGCUUGACGUUGAGCCAGUCUCUUGCCACACUCCACAAUAUCUUUGCAUGUGUGCACCUGAUCAGUGCAUGAUAUAUAUCUUCGUCUGUAUGAAAACAGACUUUGCAGCGAGCUAUGUCCGCAAUGUGUCGGUGCUUCAAUAUGCUUUCAGCAGGCAGAAUGUUCCUAAGUACUCGCCACCAAAACACCCGCACUUUUGGCACAACCUUGAGCUUCCAGAGUCUGGACCAUAACUAUUUUUGGUUCUCUGAAGGUUCGGUCACCAUCCCUUCCCCUAGAGCGACAUGCUCGUUGCGGGUCAUUAAAGAUUGGUAAGCAGAUUUCACAGAGUAUAUCCCAGAAUUUUAUGCAGCCCAAGCCCAUGAAUCAUCCCCUCCUUCGAAGCUCAAUGGAAUAUUCAGAAUUGCAUCUGCUUCAGGGGCUAUAAAAUUUUGUCUUACGAGUUCGCUGUUCCACGUACCUUGAUCGGCAUUGAUCAAAUCAGCAACUCGAGGAAUCAUGGCAUCUCUAGUCUGCACUGAAGGCCGAAGUGUGAGAAGGCCCGGUAUCCAGCUAUCAUUCCAUGUCGAAACACUCGUGCCAUCUCCAACUCUUUUUAUUAAACCCAUCUGUAAGGCUUCCCUUCCCACCACUAUUGCCCUCCACGUAGCUGAAGCAUGCUUCGGAAUAGCUGCAUCCAUGAAUUCGCCGGCGGGAAAGUACUUCCCUUUCAAUACACGAGCACAGAGAGAUUUUGGGUUCGUAAUCAGCAUCCACCCGUGCUUCCCAAGCAGAGCUAAGUUGAACAUUUCCAGGUUUCUAAACCCCAUCCCUCCUGCAAUCUUUGGCUUAGUUAGUGAGUCCCAGUCGAUCCAGUGCAGAGACCUGCGAUCAACUGAACUACUCCACCAGUGCCUAGCCAUUUUUGAAGAAAAACCCUUAUACACCUUUUUUGUAAGCUUGAAGCAAGUCAUGGAGUAGGUCGGGAUCGCCUAUGCAACGGCCUUAAUCCUGACCUCCCUCCCAGCACAUGAAAUAAGCCGCUUGGUGCCUCCUUGUAACUUGCUUCUAAUCCUUUCACUCAAAUAUUCGAAUGUACCACUAGUAAUGCGCCCAAUGGCUGUUGGUAAACCCAGAUAUCGAUCAUUGAAGGCCUCAACAUAAAAUCCCAACACUGCCUUGAGUUCCUGUCGAACUGCAUCGAGCGUGUUGGGACUGAAAAAGAUAGAACUCUUGUCCCUAUUAACACUUUGUCCCGAGCAAUCACCGUAAAUUUGUAGCACCUCGUUCAACCUGGUCGCACUCUGCACUUCUGCCUUCAGAAAAAUCAAAUUGUCGUCAGUGAAAAGUAGGUGAUUAAUCCAAGGAGAACGAGGGCUAACCCGUAUGCCUCUGUCAACAUGGAUCCCUCCAUAGUAUUUCAGUAACGAGGUAAAACCCUCGGCACAAAUAAGAAACAAGAACGGUGAACUUGGGUCUCCCUGACGGAGACCUCUAGAUGGUGUGAAGUAUGGAAGUAACUGUCCAUUCACUCGAACUGUAAAUCUUACUAAUGUUACACACUUCAUCAUGAGUCUGACAAACUGUGAACAGAAACCCAACCUUAGCAUGAUAGCCUCAAGAAAGUGCCAUUCCACUCGGUCAUAUGCCUUCAUCAUAUCGAGCUUUACAGCACAAGCAACAUUCUUCCCUCUUUUCCUCCUCCUCAUAGCGUGAACGCUCUCAUAAGCAAUCAGAACAUUGUCAGUAAUGACCGGCCAGGCACAAAGGCACUCUGCUCCUCACUGAUUAUAUCGCCCACUAACACUCGAACCAUGUUUGUCAUGCAUUUGGAGGCAAUCUUAUAAAGAACAGGGCACAGUGAGAUGGGUCGAUACUAGGAUAUUCGUUGUGGGUGACACACCUUUGGAAUUAAUGUUAUAGAAGUGUCAUUCAUGCCCUCGGGUAGCACUCCCCCAUUCAAGAAAUCUAGCACAGCCGGGAUUAUGUCAUCUUUUAGUAAGGACCAGUGACGUUGAAAAAAGCCCACUGUAAAUCCAUCCACACCCGGCGCCUUGGAGGGCGCCAUUUGGAACAAAGCCGUCUUGACAUCCUCCGCAGUAUAUGGUUUAACAAGUUCUUCAUUCAUUUGUUCUGUUACUUUCGGUGGAACAAAAGCCAGCAGCUCAUCCAUUGGUUUGAAUCCCUGACUUGUGUAAAGGGCUUCAUAGAACCCUUGGACUUCUGCAUGUGUCUCGUCCGGCGUUUGACAUAUGGAUCCAUCCGCGCGUUCGAGCCCCUCGAUCUUAUUCAUUCUCUGCCUCUGCGCUGCUUGUGCAUGAAAAUACCCCGUGUUCCGAUCCCCCUCUCGCAGCCAAGGAACUCGUGAUCUCUGUCUCAUCCAGAUUUCCUCCUGUCUUAGUGUCUCCCGAAGCUGUUUAGCUAUUGCCCUCUCCUCCUCGGAUGGACCUUGCCGUCCCGGCCGUCGACGUAGCCGGUCCAAUUUGUCUCUCAGCUUCCUCACUUUACACGUGAGACACACGAACUCCUUUGCCCCCCAUGCAGCCAACUUGGUCUGCAUGUCGUGCAAUGCAUUGAGCAUACCCGCAAGACCGUUCCGACCAGCUCCCUUCUGCCACUCUUUCAGUACAAAAUGAUCAUACUCAGAGGGUGUCUGCCAUACGUCUUCGUAUCGAAACUAUCGUGUUACUCCUUGUCGAUGUGCAGCCCUAUUAUCACGUAAGUCAACCAGAACAAAGCAAUGGUCCGACUCUGUAGUACUAAUGUGACGCACCGAAGUGUGUGGGAAAAUCUGGGUUAGCUGCAAGUUUCCCAAACCUCUGUCGAGUCUGGCUUUCACAUUGGGUUCCCCACUCUGCCCAUUAUCCCAUGUGUACUCCACUCCUUUCCAACCAAGAUCCAGGAGUGAGCAAUCAUCAAGAGCUUCUCUGAACGCCCUCAUUUGCCAUUCCGGCCGAUCGGCACGAGAAAAGUGUUCAGAAGCAAACAAAGUUUCAUUGAAAUCCCCAACGCACAACCAAGCUUCAUGUUGGAUUUCAGAUAACUGACGAAGGAACCUCCAACUAUGGCGUCUAUCUUCCGCCCGUGGAGCUCCAUAAAACCCUGUCACUCUCCACUCAAUCAAGUUUCGAGCUUUCUUACUGACCUUGACAUCAAUAUGCGCGGCACUGUAGUUUUUCAGUUCCACAUCCACAUCCGCUGCCCAGAACAUACCGAUGCCCCCACUCAAACCUUGACUGUUUACUGCAAAACACCCCGCAAAACCUAGCAGAUUCUGCAAGCUUUCCACUCUCUUUGUUGAAAUCUUUGUCUCCAUCAGAAAAAGGAGACUUGGCCAUUCUUGCUUCACAACGUUGCGAAGCUCUCGAACUGCCUCCGGGUUCCCAAGCCCGCGGCAGUUCCAGCUCAUGCAACUCAUUGCUUCCGGCAGAGCUGCUCCGCAGCCUCUGCCGAUGCGUCUGAAGUGGUCGGGGUAGGUUUCUUCUUCUUAGCCUCCCUUUCCAACUCCCCAUCCAGUUCUUUUCCUGUCUCAGAAACUCCAACAGAGGAAUCAUUCUCUGUCGUAUCAUUUCCAUUGAAUGGCCUAUUAGCCAGCAAAGGCAUAUCAACUUUCCUGUAAACUUGCUUUUGCACUUGAGGCCCCCUUUUCCGUUUGUUCUGGUUGGUCUUAUUCUUCAAAGGAGAUGUUACCUCAGCUGCUCCCUUUGCCUCCGUAGAAGACUGACGUGUUUCGGCCUUCCUGUACUGGGGCAUACUCGAUUCCCUUGACGAGCUAUCCCCCGAUGUGCCCUUCCUCCUAUCAUCAGGCGCUCACAAUCCCUUCCUGAAGGGCAGGUCACCAUUCACAUCUCUGGUUCCAGGUGUAGAGCAAUAAAGAUCCCCGUGACCGAGACGACCACAAGAAAAACAAAAGUGAGGAACAUUUUCAUAAAGUAUAUCAUAUGGAUCCAUGCCGUUCCUUCUCUUUGAUUCAAUCAGGAUCCACCUCCUAAGAGGUUUCCCCACGUCUAUAGUAACUCUGGCUCUGAGAUAUCCAGCCAUAUGCUCAAACUGAAUGUCCAUCGCCAGCUUAUCAAUUUGGCCUACUAUUGCUUUACUCCACUUUUCAUUACGAAGAUUAAAAGGAAGAUUGACGACUCGAGCCCAUAACUAAAGCUUGUCAAAUUACAGUUCAGAAGGAUGCAUGCACUCAUCAAAAUCCGAAAGAAUCACUGCGUUCUUGCUAACAUGCCAUGGCGAUCCCUCCCAAACGCGAUCUGUGUCUCUCUUGGUAGCAAAAUCUGCUACAAACAUGUUCUCUCCCACAGAUCUGAAAGCCAGACCUUUGGGAUUGCCCCACGCGGGUCGGAGAGCAUUGAUGAUCGUCUGGAUAUGCAGAGUAUUGCGAUGAAGAACCUUGCCAGCAACCAUCCACUUCUGCUGCUCUCCCUCCUCUAGAUCAUCCACGACCAGGGCGUAGCUUCCUCGUUGGUGAUGUCUAACUUGCCUAAGGCCUCCGCCAGCUUCGCCCUCGCCGCCCUAGGGGACAGGGAUCCCUUCUCUUUGCCUGCGGUUGAGGACGACGCCAUCUUCCACCGAGCCUGAGUUGCGCUCCGUCGACAGAUCCGGCGAGCGCCGCCAGGUGCCACCCGUAAACCCUAAUCGCCUGAUCGCCAGGCACCGGGUUUUCGGGGGAUCAUAGUGUACAUAACAGGGGUACACCAUAACCACGAUAUAUAAAUCGGGAAAGUGGAACUGGCUUGAAAAUACGGUGUUGUAUUGCCGCUAGUAAUUGAAAGCCUAUCGAUCACGUACAGGCCAGCUCUAUCAGCUGUUGACUGCAGAUGUCCCUGCGCCCCUUCCUGACAAGGAACAUACUGUACGUACUAAAUACAGAAUAAACAAAGAGGAACAUGUUAAAGAACAGAAGAGGAAGCAUAUUCUUGAGGUUCCGCUUCAUUGCAUACAAUGUUGGUUGCCAACUCAUGAUGAAUCACAACGCCCAAAGAAAUGCAAUUCCAUGUUGUCUCUCUAUGUGGCAAUUUUGAACAAGAGUCAUUAGGAUCAUAUUCUGAACAAGAGUCAACAGGUGGGGAGCGUAUGAGUUUCAUUGCAUCCAGAAUGGCACCCAAUGCCUUGGUGCCAAUUUUGUGAGUCAUUGCAGUGUUUAGCUUCAAGAGUGGACUACUGCUAGUGCCACACAAAGCAGCUACACAGAUCAUAGUGUAGAUAUAACGGGACAACCUUAAGCAUCAGAGUAAAAUCAGCAAAGUGGAACUUGCUAGAAUAUAUGUGCUAGUUUGUCGGUACGUCUAGAAAGGCUUCGAAUACCAGCUCUCUUCAAGUGAAGGUGCGGUACUGUUAAUAUCAGUGUAACUCUCAAAGGCGACACAGCUCCCCGCAUUUCCUUGCUGUUCUUAUAGGAUUCAAGUGGGCAAGCCACUACAAAUCCUAUUCCUAUAUUUACAAGAUCCUACGAAUCAAAGAAGCUCAAAGUGUCCAUCACAACUGACCGUAUAGACCUCUACACUGCAAAUGUCCCUGCUCAUCUUCAGUACAAGGAACAUAUUGUACUACUAUCAAACUCCCUCCGUUACAAAAUAUAAGUCUUGGUAGAGAUUUCCACUAUGGAUCACAUAUAGAUGUAUCCAGAUACAUUUUAGAGUGUAGAUUCACUCAUUUUGCUCCAUAUGUAGUCCAUGGUGGAAUCUAUACAAAGACUUGUAUUUAGGAACGGAGAGAGUACAUAUUAAAGAAGAACGGAAGAGGAACAUGGUAAAGAAGAGCAAGCAGAUUUUGGAUAAUAAAAUGUUGGUUGCGCAGUGCCCACACAUGAUGAACCAGAGCGCAUUAAGAAUGCAACUCCCAGCUGUCUUUCAACCAUUUCAGGCGGUUGGAUGAAGAUCCUACGUCUAUUAACCCAUCUUCUUCCUCGUCUCUGAUUCUUCCCAUACAGAACACCGCACGGGCCGCCGGCCGGACCACCGGCCCCCACCGCCUGUGUUCCUCUGCCACCCCCACCCCCGCCCCAACCCCCACCCGCGUCGAGUUUUCUUCGUUCGGCGAGGCCCCACAACCACCCGAGCCCCUUCGUUCGCACCGGCGAACUCCGGCGAGCUCUGAAAAUUUUAGUCUAUUGUGAUUUAACUAGUGUGGAAUAUAAAAGGGGAAAACCAUAAGCAUUGGGAGUAUAGUGUUGAGCGUGCCAUGGAGGAUCUGAAGGUGCAAACCGGACAAAGGUAACUUCGCAACCAAGACAAGAAAUCAGAGUAAAGAAGUGGUGAUCUAUUUUCUUGCUACGAUAAAUAAGUUGAGCAGAUAUGAAAGAGUACCGCCUCUGGUGCGGCGCUGUGUACGCAUCUGCUGAGAAUUUGACGGUGCUGCGGUAGCGAUGCCUAUCGGCAGCGUGGAACCAGAUCUAGGAGGGUAGACGGUGGCAGCAAGGCGCGAUGGACGAGACAGUCGUAGGAGCGGCGCCGGCAAGGUGGAUGACGGCGGGGAUGAAGCGAGAGGACGGCGGCGGCGGCGUAUCAGCUCCGGCAUGGUGGAGGAGGACGGCGGCAGAUGGGGUGGCGGGCGGCGGCGGAUGGAGGAGGGUGGGGUGGAGAGGGUGUUUUGGUGCCCACGGAGUACGAAUGGGGAAAAGGGAGGUAGAGAGGAAGGGGGAAACAUGUAUUGAGGGCGCGCUUGUCUCAAAUGCGAGGAAAUUUACAAACUUAGCCCCAUUUCAAAUUUCUACUACAUCACAGCAACAUUAGUCGGUUGGGGAUAGGACGAUAAUCUCGCAUACACCGAAUAUUUGCCGACGAGAGUUUGUUUUUGGCGCCCACCGUGUAUAUGAAUAUGAAUCGGGGAGGGAGUCAAUUUCGGCCGAGGACACACUGUGUUUUGGCGCCCACCAUGUAUGAAUCCGGGUGAGAGGCGGUUACAUCACAUUUGGGUGAAAUUACAAACCUACCCCUAUCGAAACCUAUAGAAAUCCAGCAGAUAGGCUUUGCGUGGCAGGGAUAGGCAGUAGUAAUUUCCAUCUCGCGAAUUUUGGUUUCGGGCGGUUACUGCGACUUUCCCCGCUUCGUUCAAAUUUUUGCACAGUGCACGUUUACGCUCGUGUCAACUCAAUUUGAAUCCCGUUUGUAUUCUAUUUUUUCGGGCGGGAUCCAUUUUCAAUUGGAAUUACAUUCUAUAUACAUCAUUUUUUAUAUAUACUUUCAAAAGCACAACACCAUUUAUACAUAAAUAUGGUUUAAAAAUGGCAUGAUCUCAUAUUCAUAAGGUUGUAUCCAUCAAUCUGGAUUUUCAAAUAUUUGAAACAACUUUAUGUUGGAAUCCAAUGUAUGCAUUCCUCGCUAACUGUCUCCAAUUAAUGUGUGUUUCAUGCGGGUUUUUUUUUACUUCUCAAACAUGUAUAAUGUGUUUCACACACGCAACAUAUAGUGUAAUCCCGUUUAGACAUUAAUUGCAUAUAAACCAUGCAUUGUUUGUAAUUAAAGAAUCUAUGGAUCAGCAAGAUUGAUAAACUAUAUAACAUUACACGUGUGCCCAAAUUCAAAUGAAUAUGCAUGUUUGAUACACCAAUUUGCGUUAUGAUAUUAUCGAUGUCGUGAUCUCCAGUUUAAAUAUUUGAAUCCGCUUUAAUCCAGAUAUUCGUCUCAUAUAGCUAUCACUCAUGCUUAUAUAGGACUAUGUCUCUGGACCUAUACGCGUUCAUCGUCUCUCAGGUAUCUCUCGUGCUACCUGUAUGUCGACAAUGAUCUUUUAUCUUCGUAACACACUGACGGUACUCUCUCCCUCGACCUUCAUCACUCUAUAUCUCUCUAAGUAUAUCUCGCUCCCUGCUAUGUGUCUCUAACUAUGAUUCUCCAUGUGGAAUCUCUUUCUCUCACAAAACACAAAACUUUGUCUCCCGGGGUCUCAUUUCUCUCUACUAUUCCCAUGUGUGCCACUCGCACACCCCUCAUACAGAGAUGUCAUUCGCUCCUUAGAUAUGAGAACCUAUGACUCUUCCUCUUAAAUAUCUCUUUCUCACACACAAACACAAACUCUGUCUCCCAGGGUCUCAUAUUUCUCCAUUGUUCUCUUGUAUGCCUCUCACACACACACUCUCUCCCUAUAUAUAUCUUGUGUUCCCUCAUAUGUCUCUCUAGCUAUCACUCUCGUUCUGAAAUAUCUUUCUCUCUCGCAGACACAAAACUCUGUCUCUCGGGAUCUCAUUUCUCUCUGAUAUCUGUUUGUAUGUGACUCACAUGCACCCUCUCUCUAUCUCUCUCACACCCACACACAUAACUCAGCCUUCUGAUCCACUCAACUCCUAUCUCUAACGCACACUAGCUAGCAUCUUUAUCUUUCUAUUUAUCUGUUUCUCCAUCAACCUUCUUUCUCGCCCUCACUCUUGAUUCCUAUCACGCACAAUACAUAUAUUUCUCUCUACAUGCAGUCAAGUGCCCUCUCACACACAUAUAUAACUUCACCCUCUAAACCACCCGGCGGUCAUCUCCAACACCCAAACUAGCAGAUGUCCCUCUAGCUAGCAUCUCCAUCUCUGUAUCUAUCUGUAGUUUCUCCGUCAACAUUUCUUUCUCGCACGGAGUCUUGCUUCCUAUCACCCACACUAUAUAUGUCUCUCCAUACAUAUGCAUUUAUAGGUUGAUCUCUUUUACACAAUCGUUGUGCCUCACUCCCUCUGCUCGCCAUAGAUGCAUGCUCCAGCCCACGCCACUAUCUCUUAAAGACAAAAACACAUGCUCAAUUGUCGGGCCUUCUUCCCUGCAUUCUCACAUGCAUGCAUAUUGUCAUACCGAUCCGUCUCUCCCAUGUCGUUGAUCUUAUGACUUAUGUCUUCCUUCUUUUAUCUCGAUCAUGCGCGCGCACACACACACACACAUCCCACGUAUACAUGUAUACCUCUCACACAUGCACGUUCAAGGUCUCUAUGUCUCCACACGUAGUUAAUUACCCUCAAUCCUAACGCCACAUCGAAUCGUUCUCCUCUUUUGUGCACAUAACUUCCACCUGGAUGGGUAAAACACACACUCACACUUAACAAUCUCCUUCUAGCUACCCCCCCCCCCUCUCACUCUUCCCCUAUAUCCCCGAAACCAAUAAGACCAUCCCUUUGUUUAAUUCCCACCUACAUGCACCAUCGAUAUAUAGUAGUCUUCCUCGGUGUCUCUCGAACAAACACGUUCUCUAGAUAUCGACUCCUCUCACGCGCACACACCUUCUCUUCCCUCUCUACGGGCAUUUCCUCUCUCGCACACCAUCGUUGGUGGCCUCUGCCAUACACAUCACCUCUCUAUUAUGAAGCCAUGCACACUUAAAUUACAUCCGCCACAGAGGACCCCACGACACACACACACACACACACACACACGCACACGCACGCACGCACCCCCACACACACACACACUAAGACUCCAUCUCUCUCUCUCACACACACACCACACACACACACUAAGACUCCAUCUCACACACACAUGCUGUAGGCGGAGCAUUUGUUCCUACCACCCUUCAUCCAACCUUACAUGUAUGAUAAACAAUCACCUUUAUUUACUUGCAUAACAUGGACAAAUUCCACUUUACUUUAGUAGUCAGCAAACUUAUCAUCUGUGCCCUUAUAAAAAACGAGUUGGCGAUGAUGGUGUGCCUUCCAUCUUGUAAUACACACCAUAUGAUCUAUAUCUGACGGAUAGAAAGCAAACUAUGAUAAUUUUACCAAAGAUACCCGCACCUCUCUCCACAUCAUUAUCUCCCACAACCUCAUUACUCAGCAAUUAAAAAAGGAAUAAGUCUCUGAAACAAUCUAGCAUGCAUGGUGGCCGCUGCCGCCUGCCGGCGCCGUCCAUCCCCAUGCCUCCACCCAUUCCGACCACCAGUCACCACCAUGCUCCACUCCUCCUCGCCUUAUCUCUCAUCUUUCAUUUUUUCGAUGACAUUCUCGAGAUACCAGUUUUUUGAUAAAAUUCUCGAGAUAUCAUUAGUUUUUACACAUGGGAUUACUCCUGCAUGGGUCAAUCACAACAGGUGUUUUGUAAAAAAUGCAUAUUGAUGUUCCGUGCAAUGCAUGAGAAUCUUGCUUGUAAUUAUAUAAGGCAAAUCACGAGCAGGAAGUGACAUUUUUUUUGACACAACCACGUUAACAUGGCCACGUAAAUCACUAGCUAAAGUAAAUACCAUUAUACUUAUAUCCUGAUGCAAAAGGUCGAGUGCAUGUCCGAAGAGUAGAGUCGCACACACGCACUCUGUCUCUCAGAAUCUCUCUCUCACACACACCAGUUACGUGACGCCCACUUAAGCAGACACGUAUGUUACAAUUUGUGCUCCCGUGGGUACACAUGAUGCUGCGCAUUUACUUAAGCCGGAAGGCAAACCCAAACAGUAGCUGCAUUCAUUCCCCUCUCGCCGCCUCUUCUCUGGUCGCCGUCGCCCGGUAGCCAUGGCCCGGCCGAAGGUAACAACAUACGCCAUACUCCCGCCGGAGCGGCGCUUUAAUAUGGAAAUUUUAGUGGUCAUGCAUGCAUCUUUUUGUGCUAGCACUCCUAUAUAAGGGUUGACCCGUCGCUUCCCGCGGACGUGCGCGGGCGGUGGAAGAGGAAGGAGAAGGGAAGCGGGCUGUGGAGUAAUGUUUUUUACCACAAUUUCUUAGGAAACUGAGUGCAAUAAUUGAGUAGUUUUGCAAACUACCAGUACUACACCUGAAACGGUUCAAAAGCUAUACUCCCUUGCCAGCACGCGCUUCCCGCGUGAAACGGCCAGCGUCGCCCUGGAGCGUCAGUGCCACAUUAAUGCCCGGCCAGAGCGGAGGCGACCUCUCACUAGCGCUGGCUUUGAAGUGGCGCGGCGGCUGAGAGAGCACCGCUUCUUGGUGCAUGUGACUGCUCCGCGUCGAGACUGGCCAUAGGCCCUAUUUGGAUCCAUGGGUUAGAGUUAGUUUGAGCUAGUUGGGGCUCAAAUAGCCCUAAAGUAAUGAGGGUUUAAAUUGGAGCAAGUUUCACCGAACCCACCAAAAAAAACUAUCCCACCCAAGAGGUGCUAACUGGAGAUAGUUCUCAUUGGGACCACUGAAAAAUCACUUUUCUCCCUUCAUGAAGUGCAUUUAUUGUCAAUCUAAGCCUGUCACCCAAACACCUCUUUUGCUACAGUUAGUUCAGGGUUAGUCAUGAGUUAGUCUAACCUCUAGCUAAGUUAGACUAUCAAAUAGGAGCAGUAUAGGACAUGCAAGUUGCUCAAAGCAUACAGGCAAAUUCAUACGUGAAAGGAUUUUUUUUCUUUUUGAAAACGGAACGUGAAAGGAUUUUUUUUUAGAAUGCUCUUGGAAUGUUGCUAACAUGUGAUGAGUUAACCGACCUCAAUGGAUGGCAAAAACGCCAGCCCGCCUCACUUUGAUAGAGACGAGGAGGGAGAAGUGAUACAGGCUGCUGGAUUACUAGAGAUAGGUGUCGCAUGGAAGCCAAGAAAUAUGGUGAUAGCGUGGGUUAGCCAUGUACUAGUAUGAUGUAACUACACUGGGAUGUCAUGUUUCGUACUCUUCCAGUCCAUUGUGGAGAUGAUUGGUUAAUUUUAUAUCACUGAAUAAUAUUAAAUAUUAUGAGUGCAGACGCUCCACCACGAGGUUCCUUGCACCUUCUCAGUCGUCCGGAAUCUAUGUUCUUCCACUCUAUUUUUUUACAUGAGCUUUGUUCAUCCUUUUGCCAACACGCGAGACAUCUAGCAUCAAGGUGCACGUGUUAUGAAAGGAUCGUUCCAUCUAUAUGAAGAACACGUGGGCCUGGAACUACGAGACGGACAUGUACCCAGGAGUGGACGUACGAACCUGAGUAAUGUAGCGCAGUAAGUGAAGUAGAAAGGCACAAAUGGUAUGAACAUGCGUGGCAUAUAGGGUGUGUUUGGUUGCGUUCUCGUCUCAGCAUAGUUGUUCCCUCUUCAUGCAUGCUCAACUCAACACCCCUCUUCAUGCAUGCUCAACUCAACACCCCUCUUCAUGCAUGCUCUCUUCAUGCAUGCUUCUAGUGUAUUUGUGCUAAACUAGUGUGGACUCAUGCACCCUCCAUACACUCUACCAAACACCCAAAAGUGGGUCGAGAAGGGUUCUUCGGCGGCAUUUGUCUCUUACUACGUACUACCACUAAAUGUUGUACGUGCAAUGCACGGUGAUGUUAUGGAGUACAUGCCUAAGUACUCUACUACUACUAUAUUAGUUGGAGGCACAUAUUAACUUUUAUAUUUGUUUACGUGUAUGCCCCGAGACCUUCCAACUAGACAUGUCUUUCUCUCCAGGUCGCACUUUGUAUCGUUCAUACCACUAGUACUACUACGUGUGGUCUCCAACCCAGAAGUGGAAGAAGUGGAGACGGUCUACCAUGCUGUUUUUUUACGCUGGGCUCUACCACGCUGUUCAUGUCCCACUCCUUUCGCUGACGUGUGGGACAUCCAUCACGUGCCGUGUUUGACACCCAUCGUCGUAACAGUUGAAACGCUAGCAUUCAUCAGAAAUAAAAAAUAAUUAUAAAUCAGCAGUGAUACUAUUUUUUUGCAAACCAAUCAGCAGUGAUACUAUACCACGCGGUUUCCUUGCUCCUCGAUAUCGGAAAGAAUACUUCCGUUCGCCAACAUGUGGGACGUCGACCAUCCGGCCUGGUCCACUUGCCAUGCACGCAGAACUCCAAGGGAGAGUCACCCAUGUCGUCGCGCCGCAGUAACAAUGACUAAUGAGCCGUCAAAUCAUAGGCCCACUUCCCACUUUGAAGUUGCUCGGACGAAGGAACCAUCAUGACUUCGUUGAAUUCCGCUUCUUGAAGAAAACUACUAUACCAGCAGUACUGCUAGCUACAGUAGUUACUCCAACAGAGGCCUCCUUUCGUUCAUAGGAUAGGAAUUUUAUAGGAAUAUGAAAAUCAUAGGAAGUGAGAUGACAUGCAUCUCAAUUCCUAUAGAGAAAGAGAUGCCAUUUGAUGCAUAGGGUAGGAAUUUUUCCAUUUAGUCUAGGCUAAUGUACUGGUAAUUUUCUCUAAAAACUACAGUAGUAACUAGUACUACUACUUCUCACAUGCUGGUACUGGUACAUGCUCGUACUCAAACACAGACACACACACUAACUACUAGUACUACUACUUUUCACAUGUUGUCCAGACGUCGUCGUUCUCCUUCCUGGCUUUGUCGGCGACAGCCCGUCGUGCUUGGAUCUCCGCAGAGCUCUCCACAGCAGCGUGUGCAUACUUUUCUUUCUUGCAGCGGUGGGCCUCUCUUUUCUUGAGUGCUUUCUGACUUUUCCGCUCCCUCUGUGUGGCUUUGGCCGCCUCUUGCUCUACCGCCCAUUCGGCCUUGGCAUCUUCAAAUUCCUCCCACAUAGUUGUGAGGUUGCGAGCGGCGAUGAACUUGGCACGGCGGGAUGCCAUCGCUUCCCUACCAUUUUGUGUGCGGUCGUGGGCGGCGAGGAACUUGGCACGGCGGGAUGCCAUCGCUGCCUUACCGAUUAGUGUGCGGCGCGGUGGCAUGAACGACGCUUGGUGAGAGCUCUGGGGUGGAGUGGCCGGACAACCGUAUAGUGCAUUGGUUUGUCAAGAGCUCAAGGACAGAAGACGAAGCAAAUUUGGAUUCCCCUUCAAUCCUGGUCAUUUAUUACCGACUAAAAUGCAUUGGCGGUCAUCAAACUUGUCUUGAUAGCUCACUUUGAUCAUUGUAUACGAGAUAUAUGGUGAUUAUACGGUCACUGGCUCAGCAUAUAGCUCCAUAUUUGUCUGGUUGACCAGUCAAACAGUCCGCAUGCGCCUCAUCGGCUCGUGUUCUUUAUCUAUCUACGUGGGCCUACCUGUCAAUGGAGAAAGAAAUACUGUAAAAACCAAAAUUAAACGUAUGUGGGGAAUCAAACCAUGGACUCGUCGCUGCAACGCACCCUCGUCAGCCAAAUGAAAAUGAAAUACUUCGCAUCAGACACUCAUGCUCAUGCUGUCAAAGCAUGCUAAUGCAUGCACGUCGCCCUCUAAAUCAAAGUCCUGCUCAUGGCGCAACGCAAACGGCGAGCCCAUCACCUGCGCGCCCCGACGGUGCCUGACAUUACUGUUUAGACGUUUGAUGGAUGCCUAUGCGAACGCCGAGCAUGUAUUCACCUGGCUCAACACCAACGGUCAUACUCGGACCGCCUCGCUCAUGUAUAUCGUCCAUCACAACGACAAUCUAUAAAACAGCCUAGCUAGAGAGGGUACUAUGGUAGUAUGGUACGGAGUAUGUACUAUCGUGAGCGACCGAUCUUAGUGCCACUGCACACCAAAACCCCUUCCAUCGCUAGCACGCACUUCCCGCCUAAAACGGUUACCUUCUCUCCAGAAUGUCAAUGCCGCAUUCACCGGACUUAACUGCAGGUGCAAUUGGUGUUUCACUGACAUGCGGGCCAGAUGCCCGUUGGGCCCACAUGUCAGUAACCCAACGCAUCUGCAGUUAAGUCACUGAAGCAGCGUCUGCAUUCACGCUCGAUGAACCUACUUCAGCGCCAGUUGUCCAUCCGUCUGCCGCAGCUCAUUGCCAUUCGCCCGCUAUAUUAACUUGAGCCCCAACUCCCAGCCAUAGCCAAAGACCCACACUUAUUCUCCUCCGGUCCCUUCCUUCUGUCGGCACCACUCCAACCAUGGCCUCCUGGCGCUCCGAAGCUCUCUUGGACGUACUAUCGCAGGAGCAGACGAGGGACAUCGGUGGCUCAGCUCCGGGCGCGCUCCAAAGCUCUCUUCGACGUACUAUCGCAGGAGCAAACGAAUGAGAUCGCUGGCACCCCCUCGGCCGCCCUCCACCGCCACGACCAUGAAGCCGGCGCGCAUGCGCGGGCGCAGUCGGCAGCGAGGAAGAGUAGUACACGGUAGGUCGCCAUCGCUCUGGUCCCGAGAAGGCCACCGCUACUCCACUUAGUCGACACCAAGCUUGGUGGGGUAAACAUCGGCGUCCGGUUAGCCGCUUGACGAUGACGUGGAGGUGGAAAUCUUCAGAACCUUGUGCUCCGGAGGAGGAGGUUAUCGAGGCGGAUGAGGAGGAGGCAAAGGCAAUGGCCGGCUUUCUCGGGUUCAUGGCCGGACAUGGUGGUCGGGUGCUGGCAAUCUUUUAGAUAAGGUUUACAGUAGGUUUUAGUACAGUUUGUGCGAAAUAUGUAAUGAAUUUCGUCCAGUUUGUAGGAAAAGUUUUCGAAAUGUAAUGAAUUUCAUCCGGUUAAUUUGAAAUUUGCUUUGUUUGCAUGAAUUUCGUCCGGUUAGUUCAUAUAGAUGCUAGUGUAAAUUUGUGGGCCAGCGCUGGAGAUGCCCUAACUAUCAUGCUAUAAUCGCUAACAGUCCUCCAUUUUUAUCUUGCUUACAUAAAAUGGAGCAAGUGGACGGCACUAUAGCAUGUCAUAUCACUCAAACUAACCCGCCUAACGAGCGGGAAAGCACCACCCUCGUCAUUUUAUCGAUCGAUCGCGUGAAAAUGUUACGCUUCGCAAGUUCUAAGACUAGCCAUAGUGGGAGUAACUUCAGUAGUAACAUCGAGUCCAACUUAGCAAAUUUGCUUAUGUGGCAAUGAGUUAAUGAGGAGAGAUGUAGUACUAGUAACUUAGCUAGUUACUAUAACAUCACAUGUCCCAAUGCAAUAUGAGUCUAUAACCUAAUAAAUAAAGCUUUGCAUGUUACCACACUUAUGUUACUACCCACUAUUGAGGUAGUAACAUAGUCUAGAGAUAUGUGUAUGUUACUAGUGUAUGUUACUCUCCAUUGUGGCUAGUCUAAAGGAAAAGGCAGCACACUUACGACUCGUAUGCAUCGCACCCCCGACAGUCCGGCUCGCACGCCGCCCACCAGAGGGGAUACGCGUUGUCUUGCAAUUUCACUGACAUGUGGGACUGUAAUUGAAUAAAUCAUCGAUAGCCGAAAUCUAAUCGCUCGGCGGGUGUCGGCUGAGAAGAGAGAAACGGGGGAGGGAGAAGAGAUCGCCCGCCCGCCCGCCGCGCACGGACUCCAAGACAUAUAUGGUGAUAAUGUGAGGUGGGCCAUGCUGGAGUCCGGACCGCUUCCAGAGCCUGCACUGACCGCCCUGGCCCCUCAAGACGCCAGCUGCCCGUUGCAUGCAUAGCAAGUAGUCCUCGCUUAUGUGGAGGAGAGAGAGGCAUUGACAAAGUCAAGGAGUAACAGUGGAGACAAUAGCUUUCAUAAAAAAUAAACGAUGAAUACUCUUUGCUCGUCCUCUAUAAAGGAAAGAAUACUUUCAUUCGCCGACAUGUGGGACGUCGACCAUCCUGGUCCACCUGCCAUGCACAAAAUUAUCCUGGUCUACCCUGGUCGUAUCGCAGCCCCAACCUUUCCCACUGUAAGUUGUUCGGACGAAGGAACCAUCAUGACUUCGUUGAAUUCCGCUUCUUCAAGAAAACUUACUGUACCCGCAAUACUGCUACCACACGCGAAGACUGGACGGCACUAUACCACGUCAUAUCACUGAAAUCCACUAGGCCAAACUAGCCCGCCUAGGUCAUCUAUUUUGGAAUGGAAGGAGUACGUCUCUGCAUUGCUAUGAUUUUGUGUUGCACGUUCUCUAUACUUUUGCUAUGAUUUUCCUACCCUAUGAACCAAAUGAGGCCUUGAUGCGUCUCCAACGUAUCUAUAAUUUAUGAAGUAUUCAUGCUAUUAUAUUACCCAUCUAUGAUGUUUUAUAUGCAUUUAUAUAUCAUUUUAUAUGAUUUUUGGGACUAACCUAUUGACCUAGAGCCUAGUGCUAGUUUCUGUUUUCUCCUUGUUUUUGUGUUCUACAGAAAAUGGAUACCAAAUGGAGUCCAAAUGACCUGCCAAUUUUUGAGGAUUUUUUAUGGACCAAAAGAAGACCAGGAGCAUCGGAGUUGGGCCAGAAGAGCUCCCGGCUGCCCACAAGAUAGGAGGGCGCGCCCCCCUGUCUCGUGGAUGGCCCGGAGACCCCCCCUAACGUGAAACCAAUGCCAAUAAUUCCUAUAAAUACUGAAACUUUCGGGAAUUAACCUAGAUCGGAAGUUCCGCCGCCGCAAGCCACUGUAGCCAUGAGAAAUCAAUCUAGGCCCUCUUUGGCACCCUGCCGGAGGGGGCCAUCAUCACCGGAGGCCAUGGAGGAGGAUCUCGAAGGGGCCAUCAUCUCCAUGAAGGCCAAGGACCAUAGGGGGAAAGCCAUGGAGGAGGAAGCACAAGGGGGAGAACCUCUCCUCCUCUCUCUUGGUGGCACCGGAGUGCCAUCGGGAGGGGAAUCAUCGCUGCAGUGAUUGUCUUCAUCAACAUCACCAUCAUCAUCACCAUCCUCAUCUCUUUUACGCGGUCCACUCUCCCGCACCCCACUGUAAUGCCUACUUGAACAUGGUGCUUUAUGCUACAUAUUAUGAUCCAAUGAUGUGUUGCCAUCUUAUGAUGUUUUGAGUAGAUAUCUUUUGUCCUUGAGUUGAUUGAUGAUCUAGAUUGGUACCAGUUGUAUGUUUUAUCUUGGUGCUAUCCUAUGGUGCCCUCCGUGUCGCGCAAGCAUGAGGGAUUCCCGCUGUAGGGUGUUGCAAUACGUUCAUGAUUCGCUUAUAGUGGGUUGCUAGAGUGACAGAAGCUUAAACCCGAGUAAGGGGGUUGUUGCGUAUGGGAUAAAAGGGGACUUGAUGCUUCAAUGCUAUGGUUGGGUUUUACCUUAAUGAAUCUUUUAGUAUUUGUGGAUGCUUGCUAGAGUUUUCAAUCAUAAGAGCAUAUGAUCCAAGUAGGAAAAGUAUGCUAGUUUAUGCCUCUCCCUCAUAUGAAAUUGCAAUGACGACUAUCGAUCUUGUUAACAAUUGCUUAGGACAAUUCUGCACACCGAUCCACCAUUAUUCCACACUCGCUAUUUAUAUUAUUUAGUAUUAUAUUCUAACUUUAUGAUAACAGCACCUACUUUUAUAUUUUAGCUCUCUGAUAUCAUACAAAGUUAUCCUCUUCAUACCCACAACACAGUUUUAUUUCUCGUUUCUAGUUGGAAGCAAACGUUCGGUGCACGUAGUGUCGUCUCAGUGGCAGAUAGGGCUUGAGAGAAUAUUGAUCUUACCUUUAGCUCCUUGUUGGUUUGACACUCCAUACUUAUCACUUCCGCCUUUGGGAAUUGCUACGAUGAUUCCCUGCACUUGGGGAUUAUCAAGCUCUUUUCUGGCGCCGUUGCCGGGGAGCAAUAGCGUGGGGUUGAUAUUCUCGUGUGUGCUUGUUUGCUUUCUUUACUUAGUAGAUUUUGUUUUUCCUUUUUGUUCCUGUUUAGUUUUGGGUGAAACAUACAAAAAAAUUAAAAAGAAUGAAAAUACCAAAAAGGAUUUGUUUGCCUCUCAUGCCUAAAAAAAGUUUUUCAAAAAGAGAAGUGAUUCGAAAGUUAUGCAUUGAAGAAGUGAGGGUCGACCUUGAGCACUUGUGUUCAUGCUCACGGAAACAAUGUAGAAUUUUUCAUGGAAGUUUCUCUGUAAAUAAUUAUCCACUUGUAUAUAUCCAUUUUAUUAUAAAAAUAAUGUGCCAAGCUUUGGUUUUAGCAUGAUGAAAUUGCUUGUUUACUAUGUGCAGAACAAAAACAGAAACUUUGGCUGUAGUGCAUGAAUUUACAUUUUUUACUGGAAAGUCAAAUGGGCCUAAAUUGUUUUGCGCAUUACUUCUCUACAAAUAUUUCAAAUUUUAAAAUUUAUUUCAUAAUUUUUGGAGUUACAUAAGUUUACUAAACUUCCAUAUUACUACAGACUGUCCUGUUCUUAACAGAUUCUGUUUUUCGUGUGUUGUUUGCUUAUUUUGAUGCAUCUAUGGCUAGUAUUGGGGGGUAUGAACCAUAGAGAAGUUGGAAUACAGUAGGUUUAACACCAAUAUAAACAAAGAAUGAGUUAAUUACAGUACCUUAAAGUGGUAGUUUGCUUUAUUACACUAACGGAUCUCACAAAGUUUUUGUUUAAGUUUUUGUGAAUGAAGUGUUUGAAGAACGAGGAGUUACCAAUGUGAGAAGAAUAAAGAGAGACAAGAGUUUAAGCUUGGGGAUGCCCAAGGCACCCCAAGUAAAUAUUUCAAAGUAUACUCAAGCAUCUAAGCUUGGGGAUGCCCCGGUUGGCAUCCCAUCUUUCUUCUUCGACAAAUAUCGGUAUACCUCGGUUUUUGUUUUGUUCACAUGACUUGUGUCCUUUGUGUUUGUAUUUUCCUUUAAGAUUAAUGCUAGUAUGAGUUAGCUCUUCAUUGGUUUAUAGAAUACUUCAUGUGCUUCACUUAUAUCUUUUAAGUAUGAUCUUAUAGAAUUACUCUUUGUGCUUCACCCAAAUCGUUUGAGUAUGGUUUUAUAGAACGCUUCGUACGCUUCACUUGUAUAUUUUUGAGCUUGUAUGUUGGCUAGUCUAUAUUAAUUGUAAAAUUCUCCAGGAACUUCAUUUAUAUCUUUUGAAGUAUGAAUAAUGCUAUAGUUUAAAGUGGGUUUGGAAGAGUGUCAACUUUAGGAAUUAGUGAUCCCACUAUCUUGGAGGAUGUUGAAUCUUUGUACGAUAUUUAUGAAAGUGGAUUUGGAAGAGUGUCAACUUUAGUUAGUAUUCCACUAUUUCAGGAGAGGUUCCAUUUGAGUAUGAGAAAAAAGUUGUUAUCAUGUUGCUACUGAAAAAAUUAUUAUGAGGGAGGAAUAUGUGCUUGUAGGAGUUGCAAUAAUAUCAAGUUUCCUCUCUAUGUGCUUAAAGUUUUGAAGUUAUACUUGUUUUGCCUUCCUAUGCUAGUUGAUUCUUGUUCCUAUAAAUUGUGUGCUCACAAAAUCCCUAGGCAUAGGAAGUGGAUUAGAUUUAAAUAUACUAGUCAUAUUCUUCAUGAUGUCCUUUUUAUGUUUCAACUCUUAUCUUCUAUGCGAGCAUCAUUGAAAUCAUCAUGCCUAGCUAAAAGGCAUUAAAGAAAAGCGCUUGUUGGGAGACAACCCAAUAUUUAUCCUUACUGAUUUUGUGUGUCUACAUGAUUAAGCUACUGUAGUAAUCAUGUUUUAUAGCUUUUGUUUCAAUAAAGUGCCAAGUAAGACCUUUGGGAAGACUUGGGUGAAAGUUAAUGUGAUCUUGCUGUGAAAAGCAGAAACUUUUCGCUCACAAGAUUAGCUGUCAUGUUUUAAAGAAGAGUGAUUUUGAGUUGAUUAUUUUUGCAGAAGAUUAAUAUACAAAUUCCUCACGUCCACCAAUUUAUUUCAUAUUUUUUGGAGUAGCAGAAGUAUGGUUAUUGUUCAGAUCAUUGCAGACUGUUCUGUUUCUGACAGAUUCUGUUUUCAUUGCAUAGUUUGCUUGUUUCCUAGUUUCUAUGGCUUAUAUUCCUCAAUAUAAAUUGUAGAAAUAAUAUGGUACAGUAGGCAUUGUGUGAAAACAAUUAUGAACCUUGUAUUUUUCAGUACCAAAGUGCAUGGUUUACUCUUUAUCAUACUAACCUAUCUCACGAAGUUUGGUUGAGUUUUGUGUGGUUGAAGUUUUCAAGUUUUGGGUAAAGAUUCGAUGGACUAUGGAAUAAGGAGUGGCAAGAGCCUAAGAUUGGGGAUGCCCAAGGCACCCCAAGGUAAUAUUCAAGGACAACCAAGAGCCUAAGCUUGGGGAUGCCCCGGAAGGCAUCCCCUCUUUCGUCUUCGUUCAUCGGUAACUUUACUUGGAGCUAUAUUUUUAUUCACCACAUGAUAUGUGUUUUGCUUGGAGCGUCAUUUUAUUUUUUUAGUAUUUGCUUGCUGGUAUUUAGAUUAAUAUUUUGCAUCUUUAUUUUCAAUAAAAAAGUCAAGGAUAGCCUUUGCCUUGUUUAUUUUGCUAGUAUACAUGUUGCUGUUUGAAAACAGAAAGUUUACCGCUGUUGCAAAACUUCCCUAGAAAAUUCAGAGAAUGGUAUAACGUUGAAUCUUUUUGCAUAUUAAGCUCUGAUAAAUUUAUUACAGUGGGAAUUUUAGUUCAUAAUUUUUGGAGUUAGGGUAGUAUUGAUACUCUUGCAUUCUUUACAGACUGUACUGUUUUGGCAGAUUGCUGUUAUGGUUGCAUUGUUUGCAUAUGUUUGCUUGUUUAAUGAUCCUAUUUGAGGAUAGGAGUACUAAAUAUGCAGAGACAUUUAUUAUGCAAUGUUGAAUAAUAAUUUAAGUGAUUUGUUACAGUAUAAAAUGUUAAGGUUUUGCAUUGGUUUAUACUAACCUAUCUCACGAGUUCUUGUUGAGUUUGUUGUGAAUGAAGCUUAUGAUAAAAAGAGAAACUGUGAUAUGAGAGGAAUUAAGGAGACAUAAAAGCUCAAGCUUGGGGAUGCCCAAGGCACCCCAAGAUAAUAUUUCAAGAAGUCUCAAGCAUCUAAUCUUGGGCAUGCCUCGGUAGGCAUCCCACCUCUCUUGUUCAACAACUAUCGGUUAGUACCGGUUGAGCCUAAGUUUUUGCUUCUUCACAUGAGUUGUGAUAUCCUUGCAAUGUCAUUUUAUUUCAAUUUUACUCGCUGUUUGAAUAAACUCUUUGGAUCUGAAUUAUUGAAUAAAAAAAGGGGAACCCUUCCAUGGCUAGUUAAUUAUUUGACUACUCAGUGUCCUUCACUCAUAUCUUUUGGAGUAGUUUGUCAUUUACUCAUGUGCUUCAUGUAUAUCCUUUGAGUAAAUUGUUGAAUAAGUUGAAUGUCAUAAAUCUGAAUUUUUAUAUGUUUCAUAUGCUUAUAACAUGGGUAGUGAUGACUUCACACAUAGAAAGUAUGAGGCAUAAAAGUUGUUGAGAGUUGGCAAACGUAGUUUUGGUCAUUGUUGCAAUUAAUAGGAAGUAAUAAGGAAAGAGAGGUUCACAUACAAAUAUAUUAUCUUGGACAUCUUUUAUGAUUGUGAAGCACUCAUUAAGUAUGACAUGCUAAAGGAGUUGACGUUGGACAAGGAAGACAACGUAAUGGUUUAUGUUUUCUGACAUCUCAGUUAAAGUAUAUUGUCAUUGACCUUCCAAACAUGUUGAGCUUGCCUUUCCCCCUCAUGCUAGCCAAAAAUUCCUAGCACCAAGUAGAGAUACUACUUGUGCUUCCAAAUAUCCUUAAACCCAGUUUUGCCAUGAGAGUCCACCAUAUCUAGCUACGGAUUGAGUAAGAUCCUUCAAGUAAGUUGUCAUCGGUGUAAGCAAUAAAAAUUGCUCUCUAAAUAUGUAUGACUUAUUAGUGCAGAGAAAAUAAGCUUUGUACGAUCUUGUUGUGGAAGUAAUAAAAGCGACGGACUGCAUAAUAAAGGUCCACAUACAAGGGGAAAUAUAAAGUGACGUUCUUUUGCAUUAAGAUUUUGUGCAUCAACUCUAAACGCGCAUGACAACCUCUGCUUCCCUCUGCGAAGGGCCUAUCUUUUACUUUAUGUUUUUACUUUAUGCUUGAGUCAAGGUGAUCCUCACCUUUCCCUUUUUCAUUUUCCUUUGGCAAGCUCCUCGUGUUUGAAAGAUCAUGAUAUAUAUAUCCAAUUGGAUGUAAGUUAGCAUGGCCUAUUAUUGUUGACAUCACCUAAAGGUGAAUAUGUUGGGAGGCAACACAAUAAGCCCCUAUCUUUCUCAGUGUCAGGCUGAACCUCCAUAACCACAAGUAUUGCGUGAGUGUUAGCAAUUGUAGGAGACUAUAUGAUAGUUGAGUAUGUGGACUUGCUGAAAAGCUCUAUUCUUGACUCUUUCUGAUGUUAUGAUAAAUUGCAAUUGCUUCAAUGACUGAAAUUAUAGUUUGUUAGUUCUCAAUGAAGUUUCUGAACCAUACUUGACAUUGUGAAUAGAUUGUUACUUGAUCAUGAAAAGUUUUAUGAGAUAAGCUACUAUUAUGACACAUAUUGAUGCUAGAAAAGGUGAUUGAAAUUUUCAUUGAUUAAACUUGUGCACCUACUAGCAUUCACACUUUAUAAAUUAUUUCUUUUAUCAUUUACCUACUCGAGGACGAGCAGGAAUUAAGCUUGGGGAUGCUGAUAUGUCUCCAACGUAUCUAUAAUUUAUGAAGUAUUCAUGCUAUUAUAUUACCCAUCUAUGGUGUUUUAUAUGCAUUUAUAUAUCAUUUUAUAUGAUUUUUGGGACUAACCUAUUGACCUAGAGCCCAGUGCUAGUUUCUGUUUUCUCCUUGUUUUGUGUUUUACAGAAAAGGGAUACCAAACGGAGUCCAAAUGACGUGCCAAUUUUUGAGGAUUUUUUAUGGACCAAAAGAAGACCACGGAGCAUUGGAGUUGGGCCAGAACGGCCCGGAGACCCCCCCCCCCUACGUGAAACCAACGCCAAUAAUUCCUAUAAAUACUGAAACUUUCGGGAAUUAACCUAGAUUGGAAGUUCCGCCGCCGCAAGCCUCUGUAGCCAUGAGAAAUCAAUCUAGGCCCUCUCUGGCACCCUGUCGGAGGGGGCCAUCAUCAUCGGAGGCCAUGGAGGAGGAUCUCGGAGGGGCCAUCAUCUCCAUGAAGGCCAAGGACCAGAGGGGGAAAGCCAUGGAGGAGGAAUCACAAGGGGAAGAACCUCUCCUCCUCUCUCUUGGUGGCACCGGAGUGCCAUCGGGAGGGGAAUCAUCGCCGCAGUGAUCGUCUUCAUCAACAUCACCAUCAUCAUCACCAUCCUCAUCUCUUUUACGCGGUCCACUCUCCCGCACCCCGCUGUAAUCCCUACUUGAACAUGGUGCUUUAUGCUACAUAUUAUGAUCCAAUGAUGUGUUGCCAUCUUAUGAUGUUUUGAGUAGAUAUCUUUUGUCCUUGAGUUGAUUGAUGAUCUAGAUUGGUACGAGUUGUAUGUUUUAUCUUGGUGCUGUCCUAUGGUGCCCUCCGUGUAGCGCAAGCAUGAGGGAUUCCCGCUAUAGGGUGUUGCAAUACAUUCAUGAUUCGCUUAUAGUGGGUUGCUAGAGUGACAGAAGCUUAAACCCGAGUAAGGGGGUUGUUGCGUAUGGGAUAAAAGGGGACUUGAUGCUUUAAUGCUAUGGUUGGGUUUUACCUUAAUGAAUCUUUUAGUAUUUGCGGAUGCUUGCUAGUGUUUCCAAUCAUAAGAGCAUAUGAUCCAAGUAGGAAAAGUAUGCUAGUUUAUGCCUCUCCCUCAUAUGAAAUUUCAAUGACGACUAUCGAUCUUGUUAACAAUUGCUUAGGACAAUUCCGCACACUGAUCCACCAUUAUUCCACACUCGCUAUUUAUAUUAUUUAGUAUUAUAUUCUAACUUUAUGAUAACAGCACCUACUUUUAUAUUUUAGCUCUCCGAUAUCAUACAAAGUUAUCCUCUUCAUACCCACAACACAGUUUUAUUUCUCGUUUCUAGUUGGAAGCAAAUGUUCGGUGCACGUAGAGUCGUAUCAGUGGAAGGUAGGGCUUGAGAGAAUAUUGAUCUUACCUUUAGAUCCUUGUGGGUUCGACACUCCAUACUUAUCACUUCCACCUUUGGGAAUUGCUACGAUGAUUCCCUGCACUUGGGGAUUAUCAGGCCUGAAUGUAUCUGUGUCGACUAUUGUCUGAUCGAUCGCUAAGCCUACAAUUUUAGGAGCUAGGGCUAUUGGUCGAUCGACGAGGGAUAAGUAUAAGCGUACCACGAGCUCAUCAGCCCAACGUUUCUCUUCGGUGAGUGUUUUUCAAGUACUAUAGCUCGCACAGUAGCUAGCCUACUAACACCAAGAAUCAUCAAACAAGCCCUGCUAAUAUGAUAAACAGUUCAAACUUACAUCUAAGCAUGCCAAAUAUUACAUCAAAAGCUGGUGAGGAUACAUCUGUUUCCAUAACUCGGAGAGGGUUCGCAUGAUUCAUCGCAUGAUUCACUAUCAAACAAAAGUAGCAAGAUCCGCCCACACAAGACAGUGCACUAGCCCUAAGAUGGUUUGAUAACACGCAUCGUUCUGGUAAUUAAACACAGGGCAAUGCAAACUACCCUAAAGGAUUAGCGUGACCAAUUAUUUCUUGUCAUCGAUCUCUCGGGCAAUGACCACAGCACGGACAGCGGCAUGGGAAUCGAUUUCUGGGGCGAUGUCCACAGGACUGACCGCGACAUCGGAAUCAAUCUCUGGGGCGAUGUCCACAGGAUGGACAGCGGCAUCGGAAUCGAUCUCUGGGGCGAUGCCAACAGGACGGGCCACGACAUCGAAAUCAUCAAGGACAUCCACCGGCACCUGCACAACCCUAACAUAUUAGAAAGCACAUUGCAAAUAAUCAAAAACCACAACUAUGGUAAUAAGCCAUUAUUUUUUACCUUGUGCAGCUCACCGGGGGAUCUCAUCCCUCCGGGGGCCAUCUCCUCGUCCUCAUAGGGGGCCAUCACCUUGCCAGGGGAAUACUGCUUCUCAACGGCGACUAUCUCCUCAAACUCGGUCUUGAGCCUCACACAGGUGGCAAUUAGAGUUCCUGGGGUAGGCACGGUGGGGCCCUUGCUGUUCUUUCAACUUUCUUUGAGGAGUUCGUCCGCCAACGUCCUCAACUCUUUGGCCAGUGCUUGUUUCUUGGAGUUCUUCGUCUCCAUGGGUUGGCCCGCCAACAUGGUCAACUCGUUGGUCGGUGCUCGCUUCCUGGAGAUCGCUGUCUCCAGUGGGUUGUCCACCGGCAGCUCUUUGCCUAGUGCUCCAGGAUCCAUCAAUGAACUGACAAACAAAAAGCAAUCGAAAGGAAACCACAAUCGCAAUGAAAACGGGAAAAGAAUAGGAUGUGAGAAUCGGUCGGUGCUUCGCAAAAAGAAGAUUCUUGGAAUGAAAAUAUAGCAGCAUAAUUGAUUCGCCCACCUUUCCUUCGUCGGUACAGAAGAAAAAUGGCAGAAGUGAGUAGCCUGGAGUGAGGUUUUCUUCAAGAAAGGGAAGAAAGGGCUUGAAUGAGUGUUCCAGUGAAAUGCUGGUUGCUUCGUCCAGUCCGACUUGGAGGCCACCUUACCACUUCUCGUAAAGGUGUGGGUUUUAUGAUAUGACGGGUCAUGACGACCACACCGGGGUGACAGGUGCGUCUUGACGGUAGCACCUCGCUGUGAUUUGGUGGAUGGCACGCGGGCUCGAAUGCUUUGAAAUGUCCCGUGUGUAGAUAGAGCGGCUAGUCAUAUAGGAGUGCUCAAUAUUUUGCACCGCGACCAAGGCGGAGAGGAAAACGAGAGAACUACGUAAUUAAUGCAUGAGUUUAAUUAGGGAAGUUUUGUAAAGUAGUACGAGAUACAUUCCUCCAAUCGCAAAAUGCAUUGGUUCAUGAGAUUUGAGAUUUGAGCCCUAUAAACCGGAAGGGAGGGAGUACUGCAUGGCUGCACGCGGUGUAGUCUAGUCACUUGUUGAAAUCUCUAGAAAGGCAAAUACUCCUUUCCGGUUUACAGGGCUAUACUACUCCCUCCAUCUAGGUGUGUAAGUCAUCUUAUGGAAACCAAAUAGUCCCAAAACACUUAGGCGCGGUGCAUUAACUUCUACCUUGUUUCUUGUUUCUUGACAUGUCAACCAAUAAGAGAUGAGAGGUGUGCAUGAUUCUAAUGACUUGCAAUGGCUAGUUCAUUGCAAGCAAUGCUAUUAAUUACUACUCCCUCCGUUCGGAAUUACUUGUCAUAGAAAUGGAUGUAUCUAGAUGUAUUUUAGUUCUAAAUACAUCUAUUUCCGAGACAAGUAAUUCCAAACGGAGGGAGUAGCAAAUAAACAUUGGUGACCCCAGGAGGAAACGAAACUAAGCGCGUGGACCUAUGCAGAAUGAGUAUCAACCAAAGGAUGAUGGAGUUUAAUUGUUAAACAAUAGCAGUUUUGUCUCAUGCAAGAGCCUGGCUACUAUAUGCGUGCUCUAAGGCACCGCACCACGCAAGCGUUCGCAACUGCCACGUUCGGGUUGCGCUUGGAUCUUCGCCUCUUCGAGAAGACGAACAAUGAUGUUACUCCUACUUCUACAUUAUCGAAUCCAUUGCUGCAUGUCCGUCCACCUCGUGCGGGAGGGAUAGCAUGUAGCGAAAGCUUCUACUUACUGCUCCUGCCUUUGCGUCUAUGACAGGUGGGCCCAACAGGUGGUUGGCCCUCUUGUCAUGCAGCCAAAGGCAGGUGCAGUUAAGGCACCGGAGCUCAGUCCGCGAGGGAGAGGGCAUUGUAGUAAUAAAAUUUCUCGGUCUUGUACGAGUUGACGCGACACAUCAAAGCACUGCACUUGAUAUAAGUCUUUUUACACAUUUCAAAUGGACUACUUCGUAUGUAGACAUAUCCUGCUUCAUAUGUAGUCACUUGUUGCAAUCUCUAAAAAGACUUAUAUUUGGAAACGGAGGGAGUGCAACGCAUGCAUGCAUGCCAUGACUUUCCUUUUGAUACUUGCAUGUGUUGAUUUGAUGCACCUUGCCAAAUUUUGACUAUAAAUUUAACUAACCAAAUUUUCAUGCAUGUCACAAAAAAUUAUGGGGCUGUUUGGAUUGUGACUAUGUUUGUCUUAUGUUGCCACAUUAUUUUUCCCACACUUGCCACACUUGCCUAACCUGAGUUGCUCAAAUUGUUAGACACACUUUGGCUUGCCUAAGGGAAUCUUGCCACAAUUUUUGUGUCUAUGACACAUUAUUUUUGUGUCUAUGACAUGUGGAGUAGAAAAUAUAAAUAAUAAUGCAUGUUGGGGCAACCCACUUUUCCGCUAAUUUUAGCCGUGGGCUUGUUCACAAUUUUUACGAGGGGGUGGGGGACUUGUAGUACCAGACUUGAACGAUACAAAGUGUGACCUCGCACACCGUAACACCACUUGGAACAAGCGGGUACCUAUCUCAAAAAACAAUCAACAACUAAAAAAAUCGCGACCUGGCAUGUAGUAGUACACAAUUUUAAACGAUUGUUUUGAUGGAGUGAAAAAGGAAAACUACCCCAUUACGUAUAUAUAGGUCGGAGCCUCCAUGCUUGCUUGCUAGGGUUGCUCUAUUCACACACUCUCAUCCUCUCCGGAUCUAAACAAGAUAGGGGUAGUAACACUGUCUUUCUCCCUUCAAAAACAUUGGCUUUCUAUCCUCGUCGACAGCGAGGGAGGAGACCCACUGCCGGCCGCACCGUUAUCUCUGGCCGAGCGCUGGCGCGGGAGGUCCUCCGAUCCCUUCGUCAUUGCCUGUGGGCGGAUCCGGCCUCCCGUCGCCCACCUAUCCACAUCCCGAUGACCUUCAGGUAUAUCUUCGUUCGAAACCGCCUUAGCUCUACCUCCCCAUCUCACUACGUCGCUGCAUGUGCAUCAUUUUCUACCUCUCAGCCCCUCUCGAUCUGAUGGUCCAACGUCACUUAGUAUUUUUUUUCUUCUAUUGUUAGAGGUAAAGCUACUUCAUGGAGUCGAAUCUUGUACUCCCUCCGUCCGAAAAUACUUGUCAUUGAAGUGGAUGUAUCUAGAUGUAUUUUAGUUCUAGACACAUCCAUUUUGAUGACAAGUAAUUCCGGACGGAGGGAGUACUUGGUUCAAACAAGAAAUAAAGUGGGGGUGGGGGAAUUUAGUAUGUACAUCGAACUUGGUACAAACAGGAAGGAAAGGGGGUGAAAGUAGUACAGACUGGUCAUCCAACCGGUAUCUUGGUCGAAAAGGGAAAUAUAGGGGUAAUGUUGUACACAGUGGUAUGACCAGGACUAGAUUUUCUAUCCACACAUAGGAGUAGGUGGCUAGAGUGAACAAAAAUGGGACCAACCCAGAUAUGUUUCUUGGAUGUUUGUUUCUCGGGGGAACAAACUAUGAAUCACCACUUUAUGCCCCUGUUUACGUACAUGGUGCUGGACUGCUGGUGCACCCACAGUCCCAUGCCCUUAUACCAAAUAUUUAGCUGUUCUUAAUCUAAUGUCCCUGGUAAAAAUGAAGCCAUGCCACUGUUAUAAACCACGACAAGUUUAGCCAAAUGUUUUUGCUUGUAAUUGUUUGAGACUCUGACGGUUUCCUCUGUACCUUUUUGUGCAAACAGGGAUAUCCAAUUCACCUGGUUGCUGUUGUGACCUUUUGGUGCACUGCACAAAACUCUUCUUAAAAGAAGUGACUUCUGUGCUGUUUAACUGGAAUAUCAAAAUGGAACAGUUGGUUCAUUUCGGUGGAACUGCACAAAGGGAGAUCUAUGUUCCAAUCCUCAUCAUCCAUAUUGGCGCGAUAACCUUCCUUUAGGUAAGAAUGAUAUUUAAUGCAUGUGUUCAUCUCUAUUUUCCGACUGCCAUGAGAAAAUAAUGCUAUUUUUUUACUAGUACACUUGUACUCCCUCACUGACAAAACCAAUUCUGAACUAGAAGGCCAAUCAUGUACUUGGUUUCACCAACUAGUGAGGAGAAAGAGAAACAGAGCAUGAAGAGGAAGAAGAAGAAGAAGAAGAAGAAGAAGGAGGAGGAAAUGAAGAAGAUCACACGAUGGUACCGUCCUAUGUUAUCCUCACAUCUUGCUAGUGGUGUUGUAUUGUUGUGUUGCUACUAGUCUUAAUUUACUUGGAAGACUAGCAAGAUGCUCGUUCGUUGCACGUAACAUCAAGAUGCACUUAACAACAAGAUCACCAAAUCUGUUUAUUGUAAGAGUAUAAGAGUAAUAGAUAAUAGAGUAGAGAUAGAUAGAGAAAUGCAGCAUAGUAGUACUUGGCUUAAUGACACAUCAUACUAAUUAACCGGAUUCUGGAUGCAUGUGUGACCCAGUUCUACAUGAUCAACAGUGCCAAGUUGAUCUUGCUGAAGCCGAGGCCUUAGUCAAGGCCAUUCAAGGGCUCCGGUAAUGUCUCCCUUACAUGUGAGAUGAUCCUCCAGGGAGCCCUUCCACUUCUAUUGUCUCUCCUGCAAGGUCACUUAAUUAAUCAGGAGUACUUAAGUAGCACUAAUUUAUUGCUGCGUAAUUUUCCCGUCAGAGUUAAACAAAUCUUUAGUAGCAACCUAUGUUGAAUCAUGUAUGUGUAUAUAUGUAUCUGGAGGUGAAUCAUCUGGUGGAGCAGGGAGGGAAUCUUGGUAGUGUCAUGACAUAAUAAUGCUAUUGUCUUUCUAUCCUUUCUCACUAAGCUAAUGAAGGUUUCCCCUUUUUCCUACUUGUGCAAACAUGGAUCAUGUUGUGCCAAUCGUACAUUUUAGUGGAACUGUACUAGAGAAUACAAUGAACUGUAUCCCAGCCAGUGCUUUAACUCUGCUAGAAGUUCUUGAUAAUCUUUCGAUAUAAUCUCACCACUGGUAAACAAGAGUUAUUUCAACCAUACAUUUGAAGUGCACAAAAAUAUAUACUAUUGAGUGAUUCCCGUGAGUGCUUUAUCAUCUCUUCCAGAAUUACUUGAAUAAGCAUAUUUUGAUCAGGUUGGUACCAGCCUAAGGCCUUCAGCCAUAUUACUUUGUUGUACCUAUAUAUGUAUUGUGCUACUGUGUUGCUACUGUCAUGAGAAAAUCCUUUAUCUUUGCACGUUAAAGUUUUGCAACCUAUGAUACAUGGCAAUGUUUUGAGUGUUGAGCUAAUUGGCACUGAUUAAAUAAACUAAUACCUCUCUUUAAGCAAGACUACUAUGUUGCUAACUUUACCCAUUAAGAUAAUGAGGGUGCUUCUGUUUGUUAAUGUAUGUUUCAUCAACUAGUCCCAUUAUUACAGUAAUCUCACUCUCUCAAUAUAUGUGCCAACAGGGAUGCUCGAUUUUGGUGGAACUGCACAAAAACUUUGGGUGCUUCAUUGCCUCGACCGCUUCCUUCCCUUCAUGUCAGUCGCUUUGUCUCGGCUUGCUUGCUUCCUUCGUUUCCUGUCAGUCGGUUAUCUUGACUUCCAGUGAAAGGAUAGUAAUUGAUAUGCUACCUCACACAGGUUGGUACUGGUCUUUAUCCUGAUUAUUGUGCUUGUCAUGUAUUGGUAAUUUGGUAUUGUGCUAUUGUUUGCCGAUUUUAUAAAGGAGUAACUUGGAGCCUGAACUCACAGGCAAAUCAUUGCCUUGGGUGAUUUCAAUAGAACUGCACAAAAUGAUCACAUGUACAGAUACUCAUGCUGUUGCCAUGUACUCCAAAGUUCACUCAGACAAGCAUCGAUGUUGACAAGAAGUGCCUAUAUUCAUUCGAGUAUCAACCGGCAUCAACCAGUUGUCAAACUCCCAAGUAUUAGGGAGUGAACGCCAAAAAUAUUGCUUGGUGCAUAGCCCAUAAGAACACAGUCCAGUCUUUGGUCCCAACUUGUGCCUUUUGGUUAUCGGCAGAUAUGGUAGCGAACUGUAUGGCAUGGAGUCUAAGGAUUCCAGACAAGUUGGUUGACGCGUAUAUUCAUCUGGCACUUAAUCAGUCUGCACGCCAGGGAUGCUCCAUUUCAGUUGAACUGCACAAAAAAAUUGGGUGGUUCAUUUUCUCAACUGCCUCCUUUCUCGUCUGCAAUGUAGAAUUUUGGCGAGCUACAGGACCAAGACGAGCCAGUAAACUAGUUGGAUGAAAGUAGUGGCCAAGUUGCUCAAACCUCGCUCGGCACAAGGCCACUAUUUGAGGAUAAACCUACAAGCAAAGUUCAGAUUGUUUGUGCUGCCUCUUAUGUACUUGGAAGUUUACUCGUACAAGAACUAAUUGUAGCAAAAAGUACCUCCAACUGAACACCAUUUACCAGUCUGUACCCUAGGUAAUUAAAGUUCGUCCAUGGAUCAUAUUAGCUGUGAUCUCAAUCAUUUGGAUGCAUAAACAUACUGAACAUGUGUAUAUCUGAAUCUUUUUGUGAAUUAUGCAUGAAUAUUGCCGUGUCAUCUAUCAAUCAUUUGGAUGCAUAGAUAUGCUGAGCUUGUGUAUAUAUGAAUCUUUUGAGUUGUUGAUAGUGAACGUUGGCUAUGAAUAUGAACGUGCCCUCUGAACCUGAGUUUGAUACGAAUGUUUACCUUUUCUGUUGUAUUUGUGUGUGAACUUGUUACUAUGCCUACUGUGGGGUAUGUGACGUGUGGGUGUCAACGGCACACCUUCUUCUUGAGAAGAAUUGCACCUGCUUUGUUAGGGUAGCAACGGCGCAUCAGCUCUUUUUAAUCUUUUUAUUACUCUGCCUUCCCCUCUCCUCUGCUCAACCCCUGUCGUAAUGUUUUCGGCCUCAAAACAAACAUAGUAUUGCGUUGUUUUUGGGGCUUGAUGAAAAAUCGAGUGCUGGUUUCUGUAGGUUGGCCCGCCCAGCAAAUGGGUUGCUGGUCCACCACGACAGACUGGGAGGCUAAAAAUACAAGUUGUAUGGUGCAGAAGCAAGUAAAAAACGCUAUCGAGAGCCAUCCACUGAAGAAAAAAAAUCGCUCCUGAUGUGCUUCUUAAGUCGUGCCGUCGGCCCCCUCUUUAAUCCAGUUCGCUCGGGGAUCUGGUAUCAUUUUUUUUCAGAGGGCGAACAAGUAUCAACUAUGCCUAGGUUUUGUAUUUUAACAUGCGUAGCCCAUGACAUACGGAGACAGUGGUUUCAACUUAUUUUUUGAGGUCCAUACCGGCCUAUGGGCUUUUUCUUAAAGAUCGACAGCCCAAUGUAUUUUUUAAUAAAACGCAUGUCUCUGUUCUAUUUAUCUAUAUAUAAGAAUAAUAAUGUUGUGUCCAAUUUAUGUUUUCCCUUUUAAUCACAUUAUAUAUAUUUAUAUUAUUACGACUAUCGUAUAUUUUAUAGAGACCUAUAUAUACAUUAUAAAAACAUCCCACGUGUUAUUAACUUAUAAAAGUAAAUGUUUAACGGAAGUUGGCAAGGAAAAUCCUGGUUGUUUUUUACUCACAGGCAAGGAAAAUCCUGGUGAUUGCGGACAAAAGCUUGUGAAGAUUUUAAGGACCAAUUUAAUAAUAACGUGCUCAUUUUUAUUUUGAGCAAUAACUCGUUAAUUUAUUAAUUAUAUAUAAAAAAUGUGCCUCUCCGAUUUAUUCUUUGAUAUUAAUUGCUCCUUCUAACAUAACAUUAUAUAUAUAACGAGCCCAGCAUUUUUUUUGACCGCGCACUUUAUUGCCUAAGUUCAAUGCUUACAGGGAUACAUAAAUGAGCAGGUGGUGCAUCAAGCCACACAUUCCUACCUAUAUCAAGAGACGUAGCCAUACAUGCUAGUCUAUGAGGCUCCUCAUUACAUUCGUGUUGUUCAUGACUAAAAAGACAAGCCCUAAAUAAAUUGCUUCGUUCUUUGAUCUCAUGAAACACCAUACAAUGUCCACCAAGGUUCUUUGGUGCUUUGAUUUCCCGGACGACUCUCAGACAGUUGGUAGCAAUAUGUACUCUUUCCAGGUCCAGGUCCUCAGUCAACGCUAGUGCUUCUCGACAUGGGCUGGGAUUCGUGUAUAAAUGGGCUGGGAUUUCUUAGAAAAUAUAACGAGCCCAGCUAAUUCAUGUAUUUCAAGGAAGUGCAAAUGGGCUGGGAUUUCUUAGAAAAUAUAAAUGGGCCUGAUUGACGCGAAAUUAUUUGUUCACCCAGCCCAGCAAAUGGACUGUACAUUCUAGAAAACAUGGGUUAAAUAUAUGCCACAUUUUUGCAUGCUCACAUGUGGGCCAAUAGGUCAAAGCCUACGCAGGACAUUGUCAACUUGGUCAACAAAUGAUUGUGACAUCUACAGCCAUUGGAUUUAUAUCCAACAGUCCGCAUGCACCUUCAAUCUCUCGUCUUCUUCCUCCAGCGUCGCCGGGACCGCCUGGUCCGGCCUCCGGCGGCUAGCGGCUGUGCUUAGCACGCAUCGCUGUGAAGCGCUACCCCACCGUCGACCAGGCUAUCACUGCGAAGAUGAUUGUACGUGAGAGGCUGACGGUGGGGACGCACCACGCCCACGGACACAUGCAUGCAACGGAACUCGGUGUGGUCAACAUGGUCAAGGAACGACUUCCAUCGAAAGUAUACUGUACGUGGAAAAGCUGACAGUUGGGCCCACUAAGUUGACGGGGACGGAGGGCUUUGUCAACUUAGUCAAUAUGAACGAUUCUAGCUGUAGUGACCGUACGAUGUCCAUCCAAUGGCCAUCGUGCUUAUUCAACCUCUGGUCUUCUUGCUCCAGCCGCCCAAAGCAGCGCCGGUCAUGCCGCCUGCUCCUGUCUCCCAUGGCCGGUUGUGAUGCCGCGGAGGCCUCACCGCCCCCUACUACUCCCGCCGCUGGCCAGGCCAUCCCUCCACUCACCCACACCCCCUGUUAUUUUGCGGCGACGGCAGCCUCACACCGCAGCCGAACGAGUGAACCCUCAUACUCCUCUACGCGUGGGCAUCCACUGCCGCGUCUUCUCCGGCUCCGCGUCGUCCCCUUCCUAGGCCUCACCGUCGUCCAUCACCGUGGUGCUCUCGGCGCGGCGUGGUCAAUGUGGUCAAUGACCGACUUCCAUCAAAAGAGUAAUGUACGUGGAGAGGCUGACAGCUGGAUCCACGGCCACAUCCCAGUUUUUUUGUGAUUAGCCCAGUAAGUCGCUUUGUGAGGCCUGUUGGGCUGCAAAUCUUUCAAGACGAGGAGAGCUUGAUUCAGUUGGCCGAGAAAAUGACACAUCAAACCGGCAAUUAGUCAAAAUUCUUUUUUUCAUUUCGAGAUUUUAAAUUGCAUUGAUUUUUAUGCGUGGACAAUUUGUUGGACUUUAUAUUGAUAUACAUUUAUUUUUUAAAUCAGUUUGAAUGUGACUCAAAAUUUUGGGAUUAAAAACAGUUCGGACCGCACCAUAAUAUGCAAAAUUUUGUAUAAUUUUUUAACUGUGGCCACAAUAUGGGAUGUAAUGCUAACAAAAAGAAUAUGGGCUCCAGAAAAACCUUAAGAAUUAGCAAAUGGGCUGUAAAUUAUUAGAAAUAAUGGCAGAUGGGUUGUAUGCUAUUUUUCACAGAUUUGAGGCUUUCCUAAAAAAAAGGUUGACGCACAAGCAGUGACUAUUGGAUUUCCAUCCAACGGCCAUCAUGCUUCUUCAAUCUCUGCUCUUCCUGCUCCAGCCGCUCAAACAAGCGCCGGCGGGACUGCCUGCUCCCUCCUUCCCAUGGCCGGCUGUGCUGCCGCACAGGCCUCACCGCCCCACCGUACUCCCAUCGUUGGCCUAGCCAUCCCUCUACUCACCCACACCUGCUGUUAUUCUCCGGCGACGGCACACGAACCAGUAAACCCUCAUACAGUCGUACUCCCCUCCGCGUGGGAAACAACUAUCGCGUCUUCCCUGCCUCCAUCUUGUUCCCUUCCUAGGCCUCGCUGUCGUCCACCACCCUGGUGCUCUCGGCGCGGCCUGGUCAACGUGGUCAACAACCGACAUGCAUCUGAAGUGGACUGUACGUGGAGAGGCUGACAGCUGGGUCCAUGGCCGCAGCAAGGAAGUGCCUCCUUAUUAUGCGCAAAAUAAUUAUUCCUCCACCUGACAGCAGGGACCCACCGGACAGGCCACCUUAUUUCGCGAAAAAAAUGUUUCCCUCCUGACUGCUGGGACCCACCAGCUAUAUCUUCGCACGCAAGAAAGUGCGUCCGGGUAAAAAAAACAAAUGAUUCGCCCCCCUGACUGCUGGGACCCACCAGCUACAUCUUCGCACACAAGGAAGUGCCUGACAGUCGGGACCCACCUGGUCGAAGCGUACGUAGCGUUGUCAUUCUGGUCGCGAACGUGUACGUACAUAUAUACUGGUCAAUGUAAAGGCGCGCACGUGUCGUAGUAGAGGCGCGCACGUAGCAUGUACACGUACGUACAGCGGCCAGUGCGCAAGAAAGAAAAUACGGCCACGUAUGUGUACAUACGGGCGGGGUCUCGAACGCCUACUCGCACAUAUAUACAUACGGCCAGGGCUCAUGUACAUGGCUGGGUCGGAACGGAGAAACAACGUCAUCAUCGUGUUCAUGGGGAGCCAACUAGCUCGGUCAGAACAGAAUGUGUGGUCGUGUUCAUCGGGAGGGCUUGGACGGAACAGGCGAUGGAAACGAGGCCUGGCGUACCGCAGAACAGAGGAAACGGCCUUGUGUUUGACCGGCCACGUUCGAAACGGGAUCAUGUUCAUCGGGAGCGGUGUGGCGUACCGCAAAACGGAGGAAACAGACCUCCUAUGGUCGAAACGGAGGUCCUGUUGAUCGGGAGGGGUGUGGCGUACCGCAAAACGGAGGAAAUGGACCUCGUACGGUCGAAACGGGGGUCCUGUUCAUCGGGAGGGGUGUGGCGUACCGCAAAAUGGACGAAACAGACUUGUGUUGGAGCGCUACGGUCAAAACGGGGUCCUGUUCAUCGGGAGGGGUGUGGCGUACCACAAAACGGGACUCCAUGGGAUACUGUUCAUCUCCACCGUCGACCUCCUCCAGCCUCCACGGGCUACUGUUCAUCCACCGUUGACCUCCUCCAGCCUCCACCUACGACUGUUCAUCCACAGGCUCCUGUUCAUCCAGCCUCCACCGCGCGCUACUCCACCGGCUACUGUUCAAUCACCCCUCUCCACGGGCUCCUGUUCAACCACCCCUCCACGGGCUACUGUUCAUCCACCCCUCCACCGUCUACUGUUCAUCCAGCCCUCCACGGGGUCGUCCUGUUCAUCCAGCCCUCCAUGGGGUCCUGUUCAUCCAGCCUCAACCGUCUCGNNNNNNNNNNNNNNNNNNNNNNNNNNNNNNNNNNNNNNNNNNNNNNNNNNNNNNNNNNNNNNNNNNNNNNNNNNNNNNNNNNNNNNNNNNNNNNNNNNNNNNNNNNNNNNNNNNNNNNNNNNNNNNNNNNNNNNNNNNNNNNNNNNNNNNNNNNNNNNNNNNNNNNNNNNNNNNNNNNNNNNNNNNNNNNNNNNNNNNNNNNNNNNNNNNNNNNNNNNNNNNNNNNNNNNNNNNNNNNNNNNNNNNNNNNNNNNNNNNNNNAGAGGCAGCAUCGAUCGGCUUCAGUUAGCAGCAGUAGCGAAGGAAUCGAUCGCUCGGGUUCAGUAACGCGUAGCCUGCAGUGCAAUCGCUCGGGUUCAGUUAGAGCUCAAUGCCUCGCACACACGCGCGUACGUGUACGAGAGAAACACGCAUCGCUCGCCCCCUGACCACCCACCGUAACCGGGAGCUCCCCGAAAUAUUCCUCGCCCUCACUUCUACCAUGGUUUUUUCCGUCAUGGACGGCCCAAAGAAUGUCAUGCAGCUGCGUCUCCGGCCCCCCUAGGACGAAAAGCCCAUUUUCUGUCAUGAUUUUUUGUCAUAGAAGUAGGAUCCCACCACAUAUAUGAUGAUACCAUGUUUUGUCACAAUUAUCGUCAUAGAAGUGUCAUAUGUAUGACAGAAAAAAAUUUCGUUCGGCCCAAAAUGUCACGGAUGUGUCUUUUUUUUGUAGUGAGUGGUAUGCUUGGGGAAAAUCAGAUUCCCCUCCUCAUCCUUCUUGGUGUGAAUAUGACACGGCAAAUCCAACACAUCAUUCCCUUCCUGAUCUUUCACCUUCUGAGGGGUCCAGGGCCCUUUGGGUUUCCCUUUGAACUUUCCUUGAUUUAACCGUUGCCUCGGUAGGACCUGCUGCCUCAGUCUUUUGCUUCUGCUUCCGACUGGAAUUUCCUCCUCCGGUGUCCCGGGCAACUGUUUUAUGCUUGCCACUCCGGAGUCGGUCUUCCUCUUCGCCGUUAGCGUAUUUGGUAGCAAUCUCCAUCAUCCGAGUCAAAGACAUAUCUCCUGUCUGACCGAAUUUCAGGACGAGCUCUUUAUAGCGAACACCUUCCUUGAAAGCACAGACUGCUUGGUGAUCUGACACAUUUUCCACUGUGUGGUGCAAAGUGAUCCAUCUCUGGAUAUAGUCCCUCAGGGUUUCAUUCGGUUUCUGUAUGCAAUGCUGCAGGUCUCUUGCAAGUUCCCUCAAACAUUCUAGUGAACACUCGGGCUAACUCAUUCCAACUCAAAAUACUCCCGAGGGCCAACUAAGUCAGCCAAGCUCUGGCAGACCCUUCAAGCAUCAGAGGAAGGUGCUUCAUGGCCACCUCAUCACUGCCCCCACCGAUGUGCACAGCCACUCGGUAAUCUUCGAGCCAAGUAUCGGGCUUUGACUCGCCUGUAAACUUACUGACGCCAGUCGCCAGUCUAAAGUUAUGGGGUAUCUCAGCAGCUAUGAUGGCCCUUCCGAAACAUUCGGGGCCGGAAACGUGGACUCUGCCCCCACUGGGUCUGUCUCGAUCCAAACCUUCUCUCUAUGCUCUGUUCCGGUCGACCAAACCUUGCACAAGGACAGACCUUGCGUCAAAGCCAGGUUCUCUGGGGUCGAUUGGAACUCUGUGGUCGUUCCCGUACGGACGCCUGUCGUCAUUGCGCCGGGGCGCGUAUGACCCAUCCCUCGGAAGGGGCGAAGGUGCCCGACGGUAGUUGUCGCGGGCGUACUCAUGAUCAUAUUCGCCAUGAGCUCUUCCCAGGUACCUAUCCUAGCGGUGAUCACGACCUCCCUGUCACAAAGGGGACCUAGGACUGUGAGCCGACUGAACGGUAUCUGCUCUCACAGAUCUGCUGUGGAUUCUGUUUUGCGACUAGGAAACAGCGGAGUUCUGGUCUCCCGCUGCUCGGAGCAACAUUUUGAUCUGCUCUAGGCCUCUCACAACCUCUGAACGAGACGGCUGAAUAGAUUCUGCAAUCCGUGCAUCGGCUGCCAAGUUCUGAAUCGGUGUACGGAAUACCUGAGUUUCCGGCGGAAACAACUGUCGUGGACGCCGACUGGAUUCGGGAACCAAUCGACAAGCACGCUCGUCGAGAGAAUGUUGGAGAUUCUCCAGACGAGUGCGCUCAGCCAGAGUGGCUAGGCGCACCGCCUCCAAGGCCCGGGCCUCGGCGGUUUCCCCUAUGAUGGGGGUCUGGAGAGCCUCCAUGUUGCGACGGUGCAGCUCCUCCCUCUGUUGUGAGCUGAGAGGUUGGGGCUGGUACUCCUCGUGGUCGAGUGACUGACCAGCGCUUCUGCCGCCGUCGCUGCUGUGACGGAAGUCAGGCGGACCGCGAUGGGAGUCGACCAUGAGGACCUCCGCCGCGGGAUCACAACUUCCACUCUCAGAAAGAGUAUCUGUGAAAUCAGUCGACGGGUCGACCAAUCCACGAGAAUACAUGUCGGGUUUAAUAGCCGCGACUUGGGGGGUGAAGGCCUGACGAGCCACCGCGUGUCUCACCCAUUGUUGGAGCCGCGAACGACCAGACCGCUUGCGGCGGCGGCCAGUGAAGUGAGUCGACAACGCGAUGACUGACUGGUAUGGUGAAGACGGAUGCCUGAGGAGGACACCGCAGGAACUCGCGCGGAAGUGUGCCGAGCCGCGAGCCGGGAGGGCCUCGACGUUGAGGAGGGACUCCUAGAGCCAGGCGGAGUCGUCGGUGAUGAAAAUGAGCGCGCCGAGCCAGAACUUGCGGCCCAUGACCAAAUCGCCACUGGAAACCAUGCUGAUGAAGGUCGAAGAAAAUGCAAUCUCGCUGGAAGUCGCUAAGACGAUUUGCCCCACGGUGGGCGCCAACUGUCGUGGUACUAAGUUUGACAGUAAGUAUAGGGGUACGUAUGAAGAGGCAAGGUCCUAGCUACGGCAAGAUUGUAUGCAAGUGUUUACGAGUUCAGGCCCCUCUCAGAGGAGGUAAAAGCCCUACGUCUCGGUGCCCGGAGGCGGUCGACUGGAUUAUAUGAGUGUGUUACAGGGGGUGCGAACCCUUGUGGCAGAGGAGGGGUGGCUUAUAUAGAGUUCGCCAGGACCCCAGCCAUUCCCCGUUACAAAGGGUUCAAUGUACAUAGAGAUUGGGGCGUUACUGGUAACGCUAGCUUUAAGUGCCUUAAAUGACCUUAAAGAUCACGGAGUGAAUGCUCGCUCGUUGCUGUUCUGAAUGACUCCUGGUCUUCAAUAGGUCGAGUGGUUUCUUGUAUGGUCGAGUGGUUGACUGGUCGUGUGACUUCGGGAAGGAGGGGUACCCGAGUGGUUCGUUGGUUGAGUGGAUUGCACUCGACGCCUUUAUUGGGUACUCCCUAUUGUCUCUUAAGCUUCUUUGCUUCUAGGGUAGUGACCUUGGGUAGGGCGUAUAGGUCAGGCCUAUGACCCUAGUACCCUACCCUAGGUUUGUAUCCUCGUCACCACCCCAGGUGCUUUCUUGGCCCACUGGAUGUCUUUUGGCCCAAAAAAAUCCUCCAAAAGUUUCGCUGCGUUUGGACUCCGUUUGAUAUUGAUUUCCUGCAAUGUAAAAAUAUGUAGAAAACAACAAUUGGCACUGGGCACUAUGUCAAUAGGUUAGUACCAAAAAAUGAUAUAAAAUGACUAUAAAAUGAUUGUAAAACAUCCAAGAGUGAUAAUAUAACAGCAUGGAACAAUCAAAAAAUAUAGAUACGUUGGAGACGUACCAGUCGGCGCGCAGGAUGGCUGGACGCCGACGGGGCUCUCUAGCCGGCGCAUCGAACGGCGAGGCAGGCGGGGCUUGAAUGGCUUGCGUGAGGGAGGAGAUCGACCGAGGCGCUGCAGAAGCGGCGCCAAGGGACGAGCACGGCGGCGAUCGGGCGCGAGCGCUCCGUCUCUCUUCUUGGCGGCACGGGAGGGCACGAGAGGGUGAGAGCGAGGGGUUCAGGGAGAGAUGGCGGUGUUGCGGGGAAGCGAGAGGGAGAGAUCAAGAGGAGGGGGUCGGGUCUAGGGUUAACAAGGCACCGACUGGGCCUAGGGGAAGAGAGAAGAGAUUUGGGGCCGACCCAGCUGCUGGUUGAAGCCCAGCUAGGCAGUAGGAAGGCUAGGGAGAGAGAAGGAGAUGGGUCAGCCUAGAAACUAAUUGGUCUUCCAUUUAUAAAACAAACAAAACUUUGGAUAAAAGAAAGAGAGAGUUAGAAAGAGAAUUAGACCAACGAAGAUAUUUUCCGUGGACCAAGAAUAUAUGAAGGAUUUAACAAAAAUGGUUGGAAGAGGUUUUGGCAAUCUAAAUCCAAACUCAUUUGAACUAUAUUCAAAUGGGUCUGGAUAGAAAGUGGGUGAGGAAGGUCCAGAUAUGUUGAGAUUUUUAGAGGAGUCUCGAAAAAGAGAUAAGAAUUUGUUGGCAAAGUUUGGGGGGACAAACUUGAAGCAAAAGGCAUGAGAAUUGAACUGCAAGUGGGUUGCGGUUAAUUCCAAAUUAAUGGAUUAUUUAUUAUAUCUCCCUAAAUAUUGGGAGGAUAUGUUAUAAAGAGAAAUCACCAUGUGAAUUCACUCGAUUUAAAUAGAUCAACGAUCUAUGCAAUUUAUUUAGCUGAGUUUUAAAAAGGGUUGCAUGAUGACAUGAUGCAAUGAUGAAUGCAACAAACAAAACAAAUCACACGACGAAACUCGGGAUACAUGGAAGGCAUCUGAAGCGUCGGUCUCGGAUCGUUACAUCCUCUUAAUGUAUUGUUUUUGCAAGGCUGUGAUGGCAGUGUUCGGCCCCGAGUACCUGAGAGAGCCAACUGCCACUGAUACAGAGAGGUUGUUGGCGAUAAAUGUUGUAGGGGCUUUCCGGGCAUGCUUAGUAGUAUAGAUUGCAUGCACUGGAAGUGAAAGAACUGUCCAUUUGCUUGGCAGACGUAGUACAAGGGGUAUGUGAAAGGUGCCACUGUCAUACUUGAAGCGAUGGCUUCACAAGAUCUAUGGAUAUUACAUUAUUUCUUCGGCAUGUCUGGUUCUCACAAUGAUAUCAACAUGCUUCAACGUCCUCCAGUGUUUGCAAGGUUUGCAGAAGGCCACUCCCCAGAGGUCAAUUUUGAGAUCAAUGACCACCAUUACAACAAGGAAUAUUACAUAGCUGACGGUAUCUAUCCUCAGUGGUCAACUCUUGUGAGGAUCAUACCCAAUCCGCAAGGAGAGAAGAGACAAAGAUUUGCCCAAAUGAGGAGAGUGCUAGGAAGGAUGUGAAGCAUGCUUUUGGUGUGCUUCAAUCUAGAUGGGGCAUCAUUCAAAUACCUGCACUGACAUGGAGCACUCAGAAGCAUCGGAAGGUGAUGACUGCUUGUGUGAUCAUGCACAGCAUGAUCGCGGAGGAUGAGUGUGGUGAUAGCAUCUACAACCAAGGGUUUGAUUUCCAGGGCGGAAAUGUUGAGGCUGAGCAUCCACUUCCUGCAAACUUUCAACAGUUUGUCUAAUUUCAUCAUGAAAUGCGUGAUUGACAUAUUCAUGUGCAGCUUUAGGAUAACUUGGUUGAGCACAUGUUGACUCACAUUGAUAACCAGUAUCUAUCGAUUUAAUUUUUUUUCAUGCAAACAAAUUUCGAUUGGGUUGUAAGACUAUUUCGAAUAUGAAACUAUUUGAUAUGUUUGAUUUGAACUAUUUGCCAUGCUUGAUUUAGUAUGAAUGGCCUCCCACGAAUGAGAUGCGGCUGCGCGUUGAGUCGCACGACCGACGUAUCCAAAAAUCCAGAAGGACACCGGGCACCGCCCCAUUGUCACCCAAACGAACGAAAUCCGCGUAAAACGGGAUCGUACGUCAGAGUUGCCCUAAACACGCCCGAUACGAUGCAUUGCACUUGCAGCAGGGAAGGAGAAGAGAGAGAGGAAGGGCAUCAUUACUGGGCCUGGUGCUCGGGCUCACAUCAAUCAUCAAUGAUGCGCGCAAAACCAUUUGGGAACGAAAACUGAUGAAUGCCCUGCCCUGCCACCCUCCUCCUACGUCAAGCUGACCCGCGUUGCUUCUCCGCGCCACCAUCCCAGCUGGAAAUCACUCCCCCACCCAUCCUGCCCCGGUUUCCGCGAGGAGAGAGACAAGUAGGCGUGCGUGUGGCCUCUGUCGCCGGCGAGGCCAGGCGGCGCCUGGAAAUUACCCCGCUGCCCUCGCUUCGUGCGGCCCACGCGCUGGCGCAGUGCGGUGGAGCGUCCCGACGUCCCGUCGUCACGUCGAGGGGGCAGGAGCGUAAAAUCACGGCGCCGCGCUCGCGCGGGAAAUCCGGAAGGGGAGUGGCGUGGUACCGCGGCCCAGGGUGUCGCCCGUCCGUCCGUCCUUCCCAUCAGAGCGCUUCAAUACAACAACCCCCGAGAGGCCUCGUCGCACCAGCAGCUCUUCCCCCAUUCCGCGUGGGGGCUAGGGUUUCCUUCGCGCUCUCCCCGCCUCGCCCCUCGCCGUCGCCGGCCAGGGGCUCCCGAUCGGGCCGGCGCCGGGGCCUCCUCGCCGCGGAGGGCGGGCUCCGGCCGGCUCGCCCUCGCGGGAUGCGGCCGGUCCCGAGGUACACAAAUGGCCUCCCUCGGCGCUGCAGUGUGAUGUUUUUUCUUUCCUUACGUUGGCCACGAAAUGUUCACACCCGUGCGCUUAUUUGUGGCUUGUUUGGUGGCGCCGCACGGUGGUUUUUGGGGGGCGUAGAUUGCGAUGAACUUUCGAGUUGGAAUGUGCGGUGUCGCUGGUGGUUUUAGGAACUUUCAUUUCUGCAAACUGAGAGAGAGGGAGCGCCGCCGCAUUAGUUCGGGAAUGUUGGUGCUCCGACGAUAUUUUAGCGGCAAUAAGCUACUCGCGAUCGGUUUUAGGUGGAUUUGUGUGACAGCCUUGUCUCUGCAGUGGCUCGUGAAGGAGUUGCUGCAACUAGUAGUACUCUGUUAUUUAAAUGCUUGUCGUUGUAUACUUGUGGUGGAUCCUGAAAGAGUUUUUCAUCAGUGCACCUGCUAUUUGCAGUCAACCCUGAUCUAUCUAGCUGCGGGUUACAAGGCCCAAUGCCAGGUGCUGUAGUAGUUGACUGGUACAAUAAGUAAUCGAUUUCCUCCAACUGAGUCUGGAGAUGUUUAGUCUGUAAUGCACUAUCAGGAGGUGGUGUGGUGUGGGUAUGUCUGUCCUGCAGAACACUACUGGAAAGUGCCUUGUUAAUCCGGUAAAACCAAGCAUGAUCAAUGUGAAUGUGAAAUCCUUGCAGUUUCUCUGCUUUGGGAGCAUGCCGCACUUUCUGCUGUGGUGAACGUUCUCUGCUUUGUUAAACUGCAGGGUGUGCAUGAGCCUACUCUUAACUUGCUGUGUUGUAUGAAUCUAAAGAAUCUAGGACACUUUGCAACAUCAUCUCACCUUAGGUUCACAUCUGACAAGUGCAGUUAACUAUAUCAACGAGGUGUUUUGCAUAUUGUUUCUUGGUGGUGGGGCUGUACCUGCUACCAUCUAGGCAAAAUAUUGCCUAUUGUCCUAUAUGAGAUAAUAUGCCAUCAUAUGGCCUUUGGUACACUUUCCUUUGAUAGUUCUAUGCAGUCUCACAACUUGAAUGAGCAAUAGCUUGGGAUGUGAUUGAAGAUGCAACUGUGAAUGGCCUUUGUUAAUGGUAAAGACUAUAAAAGCAGAUAAUGACACUUCAUAAUUUGUAACUUGAAGAGAAAAAACUAUGGGGCCUAUCGGUUUAAUAGUUAGUUUUACCUCUGUAGUCAUAAAUACAAGCGGAAUAUAUGUCAAAAUUUGUUCUCCUUUUCUCUCUUUUUUGCACUUAUGAUAAGAGGAGUAAAGUAACUAUUGGGACAUCAAUCUCGCACCAAUUGAGUGAUUUUACAUGCAUCAAUUCACUUGGCUAUUCCAAACUAGAGUAAGAAAUGUGGUAAAAAUAUAUUCCAGAAUUCACGAAGGACUGGUCGUGGCAUGUGAAAAUUAUGAUAAUAUUGUGUUGUAUCAAUAAGGUGUUGAAGUUCUUAUGUGUUGAUUGUAAUGGAAUUGGACCCUUCAAGUCAAGUGAUCAAAUGAUCAAGUCGAACUUAACCAGUAAAGUUCUGAGGCCGUGCUUUUCUCCUGGACAUUGGCUAAAUUUGAAAUCUUUAGUCGUUACACUGGUGGUUUGUAAGAGUUUUCAACAGCAGGUUACUUCCGUAAGCUUGGUAUAAAAACCUUGUCCGCAUGCUGCCCUUGUACCAGUCCAAGCUAACAUGAUGCCUUUCGGUAGAACAAAUAAAAACAUGAUUACUUUGACUUCCAGCAAAAGUGGCAUCAAGUCCAGCAGAAUUACUUUUGUGAAUUAUUUUCUACCUGCUUAAGCUUACUUGUUUAUCCACAUUAUUCCUGGAGCUGCCUGUUGCAAAUGUUAUUGCCGGUUAUGUUUUUGUACAAAAAUUGCUUGCUGCAGCCUUUUACCAGCAUCACUUCAUUAAGACAUAUCUGCUCUUUUGCAGUGUAGAGCAAUGGGGAAUGGAGCCAAGCUGCUGAUGAUGUUAGGGAAGGGCAACUCAAGCUCAUGGACCAAUGUCUUGCCGCCACAAGCCCGGCAGUUGUACAUACUGCUCUUAUUUGGGGCUUGGCAAACCUAACCUGAGGCUCCUCAGGCCAAGACCCAGCGCAGCGACUCCUCGUAAGAGGAGGCAUUCGUCUGCACGUGCCCAUCAACAACUCCUGCAACUAUUCUCCACUAACACCGAUGACCUCGUCCGGGCACUAACCUGUCCUGGAUGAGCUAUGGUGAUACCUACCUACCGAAGUACUAUUAUAGGCAUCACUAAUCUUUCUUCCUUAGUUUCCCUCCGUCUUCACUGCGGUUAUUACCACUAAUAUUAUGUAAGGUUUUAUUUUGGUUUGCUGUGAACCAAUUUGGAAAUUGGUGGAUCAUCGUGGUAGUACCAUUUCAUGUUGUUGGAUUCUAGAUGCCUGUACUGACUUUUGGCGAACGAAUGAAUGAAUGGCCAAUUAUAUGACGCCACACUUUCUGAACGUUGGUGAUUUGCUUGUGUACUGGAAUCUUGCUGAUGAUACCUUGAACUAAUGGAAGGUUAUGUUGAUGAGAGUUGAGUUGUGUUGUAGCCGCAUGAAAAGGCCUUCUGUACUGUUUUGUUUUUUGAAAAAGUAUGUGGAUUUAUUAUAAAGGUUCAA